rnacentral:lncRNA from 1 species
CAUGGGAGCUAUGGAAAGCAGGUAGCCCAUUUGAGAUGGUGGAUCCAAUAGUAAGAGAAUCUUGCUCUAAAGACCAAGUCUUGAGAUGCAUUCAUGUGGGCUUGCUAUGUGUAGAAGACAAUGCAGUGGAUAGGCCGAUUAUGUCAGAUGUUAUAUCAAUGCUGACAAGCGAAGCACAAUUACCACUUCCCAAACAGCCUGCAUUUUCCAAUGCAAGAAGUAUAGUGGAAGAAAAGAGCCUCAGCAAGCCAGCAGAGAUUGGUUCCAUAAAUAAUGUAUCUCUAUCAACCAUGGAUGCGAGAUAGAGGUUAAUUAGAGCGUUACAUGGUUUAUCUCCUCACAUUUUGUAUGUCAUUCUCCAUCAGUAUUUUGCUUUCUCAAUGCUUAGUCUUUUUUGGUGCUCUCAAAAUUUCAAAUUUCAUUCGGAAUAUGCAUAGAAGUUUUUAACAAGGUUGUAUUUUAUAUUAUAUUUAGCAUUAUUUGUUAUGAUAUCAAAUAAAAUAAUGAAGAGAAUUAGCUUUCAUAUAUAUAUAUAUAUAUAUAUAUAUAUGAUAAUGUACAGAAUCCUAAAUAGAAGGUUAUUUAUAUGGUUAUUGGAUUGUUUAAUUAUAUAAGUAUAUAAGUUUUUUUAUUUACAUUUAGGAGUUGUUUUUAGUGUGAAAAACAUGUUAAAGAAUUUUGUAUAUUCAGUUUUUUUUUUAAUUAUGUUUUGAUGUUUAGGAUUAGAUGCAUAGAUGCUUGUCCUUUUCCUGUUCUCCUCAGUUUCUCUUUCUUUUUUGUGUCUCUGUCCACUCUUCUACGUUCAAGAAAAAGAUAAUGGUGGUAAAAGCACGAGGGUUUGCUGCUGCUUGAUGAACUAAAAUUUUCCCCUGGUUCUGUUUCUCUCCGUCUCUCUCCCCUGUUUUUUUAGUUUUUCUCCCUCCUUCCUGUCUUCUUCUUCCUCUCCUCAGUUCUGCUCUUUUUCCCCCUUGGUGCCGGUUCUCCUUUUCUGGUUUUUAUAACCAGAGAAUGCCAUACGGUCGUAUGGAUUUUAAUGCAUGGCAUUCGUUUCUUUCUUUCUUUUAUUUGGGUGAAGAAGAUGAACAGUGUUUAUGGCCAUUUGCGUUUCGGUCAUUAAUGUUUUGAAAUUUUUAUAAUUAUGCCCCUGGAUAAACUUUAAUUGGACCCCUACAUUUCAGCAACUUUUACAAAACAGUCCCUAGAUUUUAAUUUCUUGCAAAUUUGACCAGAAUCAACCCUAUACUUUGAUAAUUUUCAAUUAAACCCCUGACUUAAUUAAUUAAAUUAAUUUCAAACUCAAUUAAGUCUCAAAACUUAUCAAUUAUCCAAUUGAACCCUUGAUUUGAUUAAUUAAAUUAAUUCCAAAGUUUAAUUAAACCUCAAAACUUCCAAUCAUGUUGCCCUUAACCCAAAUUUUAAAUUAUUCUUCUUUUAUUUCAUUUUUUAUUAUUUUUUUCAUCAUCAUUUUUCAUCAUCAUUUUUUUCCAGUAAAUAAUAAUAAUAAAAAUAAAAAGGUCAAAAAUUGGGUUAUGACAACUACGAUGAGAUGUUAUUUUUAUAGAUAUAAUUACCAACGGUAUUAACUCGUCAGUAAAUCUGUCUAUAAUAUUUAACUUAUGACCUGGUGAGCGACUAUCCUCUUCCCCUUCCCUAUUUCUUCUUCUUCCUCCAUUUUUCUCUACAAUAAACAACACCCUCCCUAAUUUUAUCACAAAUCAACCUCCCGCUACAAAUUCAGUCACCCCAACACUUAGUUUGUCAGCAUCCUUGUUCUUAUUUAAAUUUUAUUGAGGAUUUUCCAUUUCAAGUAAGAAAAACUACCCCUUUUUUAUUUGAACUCAAUUUUAAAAUGUUAUUUUUUAUUGCAUAUUUUUAUAGUAUAAGUAUUUUGUUUGGGUGUUUACUUGUUUUAUAGCUUUUUUUGUAUAGAAAUUUAUUGUAUGAAUGUAUGAUUUGUACAUGUUAAUAUUUGUUUGAGAUUUUGUAAAAUCGUAUUUGUUUGUAAAUUGAUGAAAUUUAUUUCGAAUUUGUAACUUAGGUGUUUUGUAAUCAAAUAAAUAAUGGCUUAUUUAAUAGGUCCAUUUUAUAUUUUGUCUAUUUUAAAUUUAUUGUUGAGUUAAAUUUUUUGGUUAAUGUAUAGAAAUUGGAGUUUAUGUAGAUAAUUGAUAAUGAAUUAAGAGUACUAUUAAAAUAUAUUGAAUAAAUUUGAGUUAAACCAACAUUUGUAAAUUUAGUUAGUUUAUAUAAUUAAUUAAUAUAUGUUGUCAUCAAUAUUCUAUAUAGGUUUGAUAUAAGUAAUGGAUGAUCAUUCAUGGAUGUAUCGAGGUUUACCCAAGGGUUGUACAGGAUAAAUUAUUGUAAUGAGAUUCAAAGUUUUAUUAAUUACAUACUAUCUAAUUCAAUAAAUAUUAGUGGAGACGGUAUUAGAAUAAAACAUUUCUCAAUUCAGAUGUUAUAACAAUGCAUCCUCUACAAAAGGGUUCAUGGAUAAAUAUAUGUGUUGUUUUACACGCAUAGAAUCAUAUGUUCCUCACAAGAUCAUGAUUGAAAUGAUAGUUAAAUAAACUUUUAGUUCUAGCAAUGUACAUGGAGUUAUAAAUGACAAUUAUAAUUCUUAUAGGAAUAUGAUUAUGGAUGUGAUAAGAAUGAAUCAGAGUUAUACCGAUAAAUUUUCAAUCAUAGAUGAAGAAUCUAAUAUAGACGUGCAUGUUUUUUUAUCUUUUAAAAGAUUAUGAUGAACCAUAAUGAGAUGGUUAAACAAAUCGUAGUAUAUUAUUGGUUUUUGCACAUGUAUUCACCAUUAAGUCUGAUCAUGGGUUAAGUGAGGCCAAUUAUGAUAGAGCUUUGGAACUGUUCACUUCUCAAUUUCAUUAUUCAUGUUGUCCAUUACGUAUGGGAUCAUCGACGGUGGAUGUCCGUCGGUAUUUUCCUGAGCACUGUUAAUUAGUAUUAUUUUCAUAUGGAAUCACUGAUAGACUGAAAAGUCAUUGGUAAUAUUUAGGGGGUUCCUGAGAAUUUUUUAUUAAAUUGAAAAUUCCAAUUAGACGUCUCUUAGAAAUUGUAUGAAUGUUGUUAGAAUUGUUUUAAAGUUUUUUUUAAAUGAUUUUAUGAAUGUUGUUCGAGUUUUUUUUUUUAAAAAAAACAUUUAUGUUCUUUAAUGAUUAAAUAAUAUAUGGCCCUUUUUUAGUUUAUUUUUUUAAUUUAAAUGUUGGAAUGAACAAUUGAAAAUUUUUUAAUUCUUUCUUGAUUUUGUUUUGGGAGAGGGUUGAAAAUAUAAAUUCCAUAAUCUAGGAUUUGUGUAAUUUAUAUAGAAAUGGUAGUUGACUAACCCUUUGGUUGUUUUGGUAUGGGAAAUGGUGUAAUAGGAAGUAAAUGGAAAGAGAUUGAAAUCAAUUAUGGAAAUUAAACCUUAAAUUGAUCGGCCAUGGGUAGAAAUCUGAGGGUUUUAGGAAAUUUGUUUAAAUUAUGUAGAUUUUGAUGUUUAAAUGACGUUAGGAAUGUUUAAAAUUAAUUUUAAAUGUAGCAAUAUGGAUUUCAAAGAAUUGUUAUUGUUGUUGUAUUGAUGGAAAUAUGAAAAAUUACUAAAUUGUACUAAGUUUGGUGUUUUAAUGUAUUUGGUUGUAUGGAAAUGUGGAUUAGAAAAUGAUAUACUUGAAUGUAAAUUGGUAGCAUAGAAAUGGUGAUCAAUUUAAUUCUAUAUGCUUAGAGUAAUUGAAUUAUUGUAUGUUUGAGUUUUUGUUGAUAUAUUUUUGGGAGGAAUAGAGAACUAUAAGAUUAUUUGUUUGGAUGUGAAUUGGUAAUUUAGAACUGAAAAUGACAUGUUGAAAUGGUAUGGAUUAGGGUUUUUAUUACACAAAACCUAGGAUUUUAUUUUAUUUUUUCAAUAAAAUAAAGAAGGGGAAGAAGUGUUCAAUCCUUAAAAUGAACUUGCUACCAUAUAAUUCAAUUUGAUUGGCAUAGAUUGAAAUAUAAUAAAUUAUGGUUUAUGGCAAUCCAUUCAAAUUGUUGUGUGUUCACUUCUUUAACAAUUUUGGGUAGUCUCUGAUAUAAAGAAUGUGCUAUUGAUUUUUUUUAUAAAAAAAAUAGGAAUGGUUUAUGGUACCUUAAUUCUUUAAGUUGUGUACAUGCCUAGGAGAAAAUCAAUAGUACGACAUAUGGAAAGGAUCGCUACUAGUUAUUAUAGUUGCGAUUCUGAUGACCAUAAGUCAUUAGGUGCCGAUCAGGAAUAAACACCUAAAACACAAAUAUCCACUCAUGACGCGGGCUCGUUGAGUAUAAAGUCGUCACGUCAAGGCGGGGUUCCUUCAUAACAAAAUCCAUUUACCCAGAAAUACCAGGCUUAGUGGAACAUCAACUUUUAAUGUAAGUUUAUUUUCCUUUCUCAGCGACAUGUUAAUAAGUUUUGAAAAAAAUAUAAUUAAUGAAUGCAAUUUCACGUUUACAAAUAUUAAGACUGCCAGAAUUAUAAUAUUGACAAUGAAAUCAUCGAUGAAAUUAUAUGAAAGAAAAGAGCUUUCAGGCUGGAAGGACAUGAAAGUGUGGAAGGAUUUUAGACAACUGUAUGUCUUAGAUGGUAUAUGGACAAAUUAUAUUUAGCACGUGAUGUUUGAGUGUUUCGUGUGACGAUUACAGUCCAAUGUAGAGAACCAUAAACGAUGCGUUCAUAGUUUUAUUACAACACACAUCAGCGGUUAUGUUUGGUUCAUUUCACAUGCAAAGCGGUUGAUAUGAUUCUUUUUUAUUAGAUCAAUUUUUAAUUUUUUUAUUAAUUUUUUUAACUAACAAUAGUUUUCUCUUGCAGGCUAAGGUUUUUGGAUGCGAGUCAUGCCCGAUGAAACUUUUUGUGAAAACACAUGUGUGGAUUAUUGACCAUAAAAAAAGGGUGCAAGAACUCAUGGAUAGCCAAGCUCAACACUUUGUGGUAUGUUGUUGCGAUGUCAUGGUCGCACAAAUUAAUUACCCUAGCUUAAAACACAACACACAAGAUAGUAUAGAGCAAGCAAGGGGUCGAUCCCACGAGGAAGAUUUAGUUUGGAUUUUUAUGCUAUACAUAAUGCAAUUUUAGGGGGUUUUGAUUUGUGAUAAUCUAAAAUAUAAAAGAAAUUAAACUAGCAAACAAAAAUUAAUAAAAUCAGAAAUUUAUCAAGAAAACAAACCUUGGUGACAUUAGUCGGGCACCCGUUUCAACUUCCCAUUCGUUCUUUCUUUGUUAUUUCUAUUUCUAAUGGUUCGGAGUGUUGAAGCUGGAGACAAAUGCCCCGGCUGAUCAAUGCUUGCAAUUUCUCUGUUUUUCCCCUGUUCACUUUGGUUGCGUUCUUCCUCCCUGUGAUUUUCCUGUUCCUGCUCUCCCUUUAUCGUCUCUUUGUUUUGUCUCCGUCUUCCAUCUUUGGUGUUGGAGAUGGAGAAGGCAGUGAUCCCUUUUCCUCCGUGGCCUUCUCUAGCUUUUAAAAAGCUAGAGGACAGCUUCUGUUCCUUUUAGAAGAAACAGGGACAGAAAAUUUACUCUCCUGUCUUGUUCGUUUCCUUGUCCUUUUCCUGUUCUCCUCAGUUUCUCUUUCUUUUUUGUGUCUCUGUUCACUCUUCUACGUUCAAGAAAAAGAUAAUGGUGGUAAAAGCACGAGGGUUUGCUGCUGCUUGAUGAACUAAAAUUUUCCCCUGGUUCUGUUUCUCUCCGUCUCUCUCCCCUGUUUUUUUAGUUUUUCUCCCUCCUUCCUGUCUUCUUCUUCCUCUCCUCAGUUCUGCUCUUUUUCCCCCUUGGUGCCGGUUCUCCUUUUCUGGUUUUUAUAACCAGAGAAUGCCAUACGGUCGUAUGGAUUUUAAUGCAUGGCAUUCGUUUCUUUCUUUCUUUUAUUUGGGUGAAGAAGAUGAACAGUGUUUAUGGCCAUUUGCGUUUUGGUCAUUAAUGUUUUGAAAUUUUUAUAAUUAUGCCCCUGGAUAAACUUUAAUUGGACCCCUACAUUUCAGCAACUUUUACAAAACAGUCCCUAGAUUUUAAUUUCUUGCAAAUUUGACCAGAAUCAACCCUAUACUUUGAUAAUUUUCAAUUAAACCCCUGACUUAAUUAAUUAAAUUAAUUUCAAGCUCAAUUAAGUCUCAAAACUUAUCAAUUCUCCAAUUAAUCCCUUGAUUUGAUUAAUUAAAUUAAUUCCAAAGUUUAAUUAAACCUCAAAACUUCCAACCCAAAUUUUAAAUUAUUCUUCAUUUAUUUCAUUUUUUUUGUUGUUUUUUUCAUCAUCAUUUUUCAUCAUCUUUUUUUUUUCAAUAAAUAAUAAAAACAAAAGUAAAAAAUUGGGUUAUGACAACUAUGAUGAGAUGUUAUUUUUACAGAUAUAAUUAUCAACGGUAUUAACCCGUCAGUAAAUCUGUCUAUAAUAUUUAACUUAUGACCUAGUGAGCGACCAUCCUCUUCCCCUCCCCUAUUUCUUCUUCUUCCUCCAUUUUUCUCUACAAUAAACAACACCUCCCUAAUUUUAUCACAAAUCAACCUCCCGCUACAAAUUCGGUUACCCCAACACUCAGUUUGUCAGCAUCUUUUUUCUUAUUUAAAUUUUAUUGAGGAUUUUUCAUUUUAAGUAAGAAAAACUACCCCUUUUUUAUUUGAACUCAAUUUUAAAAUGUUAAUUUUUAUUACAUAUUUUUGUAGUAUAAGUAUUUUAUUUGGGUGUUUACUUGUUUUAUAGCUUUUUUUGUAUAGAAAUUUAUUGUAUGAAUGUAUGAUUUGUACAUGUUAAUAUUUGUUUGAGAUUUUGUAAAAUUGUAUUUGUUUGUAAAUUGAUGAAAUUUAUUUCGAAUUUGUGACUUAAGUGUUUUGUGAUGAAAUAAAUAAUGGCUUAUUUAAUAGGUCCAUUUUAUAUUUUGUCUCUUUUAAAUUUAUUGUUGAGUUAAAUUUUUUAUUUAAUGUAUAGAAAUUGGAGUUUAUGUAGAUAAUUGAUGAUGAAUUAAGAGUACUAUUAAAAUAUAUUGAACAAAUUUGAGUUAAACCAACAUUUGUAAAUUUAUUUAGUUUAUAUAAUUAAUUAAUAUAUAUUAUCAUCAAUGUUCUAUAUACGUUUGAUAUAAGUAAUGUAUGAUUAUUCAUGGAUGUAUCGAGGUUCACCUAAAGGUUGUAUAGGAUAAAUUAUUGUAAUGAGAUUCAAAGUUUUAUUAAUUACAUACUAUCUAAUUCAACAAAUAUUAGUGGAGACGGUAUUAGAAUAAAAAAUUUCUCAAUUCAGAUGUUAUAACAAUAUUAUACAAAAGGGUUCAUUGAUAAAUAUGUGUUGUUUUACACGCAGAGAAUCAUAUGUUCCUCACAAGAUCAUGAUUGAAAUGAUAGUUAAAUAAACCUCUAGUUCUAGCAAUGUACAUGGAGUUAUAGAUGACAAUCAUAAUUUUAUAGGAAUAUGGUUAUGGAUGUGAUAAGAAUGAAUCAGAGUUAUACCGAUAAAUUUUCAAUCAUAGAUAAAGAAUCUAAUAUAGAUUCAUGUUUUUUUUUUAUCUUUUAAAAGAUUAUGAUGAACCAUAAUGAGACGGUUAAACAAAUCAUAGUAUAUUAUUGGUUGUUGCACAAGUAUUCACCAUCAAGUUUGAUCAUGGGUUAAGUGAGGCCAAUUAUGAUAGAGCUUUAGAACUGUUCACUUCUCAAUUUCAUUAUUCAUGUUGUCCAUUAUGUAUGGGAUCAUCGACGGUUGAUGUCCGUCGGUAUUUUCCUGAGCACUAUUAAUUACUAUUAUUUUCAUAUGGAAUCACUAAUAGACUUAAAAGUCAUUGGUAAUAUUUAGGGGGUUCCUGAGAAUUUUUUAUUAAAUUGAAAAAUCCAAUUAGACGUCUCUUAGAAAUUGUAUGAAUGUUGUUAGAAUUGUUUUAAUUUUUUUUUGUUUUUUAAUGAUUUUAUGAAUGUUAGAGUUUUUUUUUAUAAAAAAAUUUGUUCUUUAAUGAUUAAAUAAUAUAUGCCCUUUUUUAGUUUUUUUUUUAAUUUAAAUGUUGGAAUGAACAAUUGAAUUUUUUUAAAAUUCUUUCUUGAUUUUGUUUUGGGAGAGGGUUGAAAAUAUAAAUUCCAUAAUCUAGGAUUUGUGUAAUUUAUAUAGAAAUGGUAGUUGACUAACCCUUUGGUUGUUUUGGUAUGGGAAAUGGUGUAAUAGGAAGUAAAUGGAAAGAAAUUGAAAUCAAUUAUGGAAAUUAAGCCUUAAAUUGAUCGGCCAUGGGUAGAAAUAUGAGGGUUUUAGGAAAUUUGUUUAAAUUAUGUAGAUUUUGAUGUUUAAAUGACGUUAGGAAUGUUUAAAAUUAAUUUUAAAUGUAGCAAUAUGGAUUUUAAAGAGUUGUUAUUGUUGUUGUAUUGAUGGAAAUAUGAAAAAUUACUAAAUUGUAUUAAGUUUGGUGUUUUAAUGUAUUUGGUUGUAUGGAAAUGUGGAUUAGAAAAUGAUAUACUUGAAUGUAAAUUGGUAGCAUAGAAAUGGUGAAUUUAAUUAUAUAUGCUUAGAUUAAUUGAGUUAUUGUAUGUUUGAGUUUUUGCUGAUAUAUUUUAGAACUAUAAGAUUAUAUGUUUGGAUGUGAAUUGGUAAUUUAGAACUAAAAAUGACAUGUUGAAAUGGUAUGGAUUAGGAUUUUUAUUACACAAAACCUAGGAUUUUAUUUUAUUUUUUCAAGAAUAUAAAGAAGGGGAAGAAGUGUUCAAUCCUUAAAGUGAACUUGCUACCAUAUAUUUCAAUUUGAUUGGCAUAGAUUGAAAUAAAAUAAAUUAUGGUUUAUGGCAAUCCAUUCAAAUUGUUAUGUAUUCACUUCUUUAACAAUUUUGGGUAGUCUCUGAUAUAAAGAAUGUGUUGUUGAUCUUUUUUAUAAAAAAAAUAGGAAUGUUUAUAGUACCUUAAUUCUUUAAGUUGUGUACAUGUCUAGGAGAAAAUCAAUAGUACGACAUAUGGAAAAGAUCGCUACUAGUUAUUCUAGUUGCGAUUCUGAUGACCAUAAGUCAUUAGGUGCCGAUCAGGAAUAAGCACCUAAAACACAAAUAUCCACUCAUGAUGCGGGCUCGUUGAGUACAAAGUCGUCACGUCAAGGCGGGGUUCCUUCAUAACGGAAUCCAUUUACCCAGAAAUACCAGGCUUAGUGGAAGAUCAACUUUUAAUGUAAGUUUGUUUUCCUUUCUCAGCGACAUGUUAAUAAUUUUUUAAAAAAUAUAUAAUUAAUGAAUGCAAUUUCAAGUUUACAAAUAUUGAGACUACCAAAAUUAUAAUAUUGACGAUGAAAUCAUCGAUGAAAAUAUAUGAAAGAAAAGAGCUUUCAUGCUGGAAGGACGUGAAAGUGUGGAAGGAUUUUAGACAACUGUACGUCUUAGAUGGUAUAUGGACAUAUUAUAUUUAGCACGUGAUGUUUGAGUGUUUUGUGUGACAUUUACAGUCCAAUGUAGAGAACCAUAACCGAUGUGUUCAUAGUUCUGUUACCACGCAAAUCAGCAGUUAUGUUUUGUUCAUUUCGCAUGCGAAGCGGUUGAUAUGAUUCUUUUUUAUUAGAUCAAUUUUUUAAUUUUUUUUAUUAAUUUUUUAAACUAACAAUAGUUUUCUCUUACAAGCUAAGGUUUUUGGAUGCGAGUCAAGCCCGAUGAAGCUUUUUGUGAAAAUGCAUGUGUGGAUUAAUGACCAUAAAAAAAGGGUGCAAGAACUCAUGGAUAGCCAAGCUCAACACUUUGUGGUAUGUUAGUUUUCAACCAUUAUUUUCUUAAGUUAUUAUUUUUUGAAUUUGUUGACUUUUUUAGGAUACAUAUAACAUCAGGUUCAAGGAGAGAUAUGAAGACGAUCCUUCAACCUAUCAGGAUCUUGAUCCAGAUUUGUUGUUGGAGGCAUGAUUAUUCGGUGGACCCAAUAGAAAUUAGGUGUAUAAUCCAUCUAACACUACAGCUGAGAACUUGUGAAUAACUCGCAAUAUUUCAACCAUUGAAUGCUUGCAAUAAGUUCUAAGCACUCAAACUCAAAAAUUUGAAGUAAUUUUAGACCAACAAGUUCAAGCUUGGACAACACAUCUUAGUAUUGCAAAUGACAUUGUCACUCUAUACUUACUGAUAAAAUUACAUAUUGUUGUUAUGUCGGUGAUAUAUCAUAUUCACCAAUAGAAAUAGUGUUAAUAAAUCCAUAUGUGGUUUUAUAAAUAUCAAAAUAUAAAUAAUGAUAAAAACAUUUAUUGUUAAAUCUAAAAACUCUAGUAGUGUUACAUGUAUUUUAUUUUGCUAUAAUAUUGUUAAUUUGUUUCAAGAAGCUUAUCAAACAGCUGGUGGUGAUACUAAUAAGUAUUUUCAAGCAUUCAAUUCAAAUAUUGUAAUUAAAUUAAGAUUUAUCAUGCAAUUCGUCUCAUUGUAAUCACAAGUGAUAGAUUUAGAUGAUUAAGAAUGUUGCUCCUAUGUAGUUAGAGCUUGAUACUAGUAUUCAAAUAAAUUUAUUUUUUAAAAUAUAUUAAUUAAUAUAAGAAGACUGGGUUGUUGAAAUAUGAAAUAAAAAAACUAAAAAAAAAAAAACUCAAAACUAUUCCAAUGAAUAAUAAUUUGUUAGUAUGGCUAGUGUUUUGUUAAUUUUAAUGGUUAAGAAUGUUUUCUCCUAUGAAGAUAGGUACUAGUAUUUAGAUAAAUUUAUUCUCUUAAAUAUAUUAAUUAAUAUGAGAAAGUGUUUUUAAAAUUAUUUUAAAAGGGGUUUAAUCUCAAUUGAUUUGUAAGUUAAUUUAAAUAUCUUUUUCAUUGUAACAAACAAAUAUAGAGAUAUUUGAUUAUUGUAUACGAGAAGAUUAUCUAUAUUAUCCUAUGUACUUGAUUAGUUUUGAAAUAUUAAUGCCCCUUCAAGUUGUGAAGAAAGGUAAUUCCUUAUUUUAAUUAUAUAAAAAAAAACAAAUCAAAGUUCGAUUCUGGAACCCAAUUAACAAUACGAUUAAAAGAGCCUAAGAGCAUGAUUAAUUUAUACGGCAUGGUGAUGGGAUUUCUUCAAGGUUAGGAGGUUGAUAGAUGAACGCAAGAAUUGUCUAGAAUCGAACUUUGAAUAUUUUUUAUAUUUUUUUUAUAAAACUUUUCUUAUGCAAGAAGAAGAAUAAGCCAAUAGUUGUAUAAAAUUUGAAAAGCAUAACCACAUGUUGUUUUUUAAAGGAUAUUUGGGAGUAUGAUUGUUAUUACUUUUCAAAUAACUUUUCAUGCUAAAAUAUAUUAAAAUAAUUUUUUUUUAUUUUUAAAAAAUUAUUUUUGAGAUCAGUACGUUAAAACAAUUUAAAACAUACAAAAACAAAUUAAAUUUUUAUAUAAAAAAAAAUUAAAAUUAAAUUUUUUUAGAAACACGAUUGCUAAUUAGAUUUAGUUUUAGGAUUUGAACAUAAAAUAAAUUAAGAGAUGCUUCGGAUAAUACUUGUUACUUUUUACCUCUUAACUUUAUUAAUAAAUAUAUUUUUUAAGCAUGCACUAGCUAGCUAGACCCGUUCAUCAGUUGAUUGAGAUUGUUUCUAAGGCAAAUGGAUACUGCCUGUACGGUCACUUUCAAGCUCCAACAAAUCUAGAAAGCUACUGGGAAAUAGCUUUGCCUUAGUCAUUGUCUGUUUUCUGAUGCUGUUUAAUUGUUAUUUUUUUUAGUGAUCUUAGAUUAUAUUAAAAAUAAAUUUUAAAAAAAUAAAAAAUAUAUUAUUUUAAUAUAUUUCAAAAUAAAAAAAAAUUGAAACGCAAUCUUUAUCAUACUCUCUUAUAAGCAAUAAUUCUUCUUUUUUUACCCCAUAUUAUAUUUUUAAAAUAAUUUGAAACUUGGUUUUUGUCAAAAAAAAAAUCAAUUUAAUCUAAUAGCUUAAAUUGUUAUGUGAGGCUUCAAGAUAUGAUUUAUAUAAUUUGUUUUAAACUUGAAACUUGUAUAAACACACAAUACCUUGUACUUAUUAUUUUUUUUAUAUAAAAUAAAAUAAGAGUGGUGAGAUUUGAAAUCGUGAUCACUUAAUUAACAAGGCCGGCCUUAAUACUAUGUCAAAAAAUCAAUUCAACUCAAUAACUUUAAUUAUUAUAUGAAAUCCCAAGAUAUAAUUUAUAUAAUUCUCUAACAAUAUCAACCUCAUUUUUAAAAAAAAAAAAUUUUCUACGCAACUCACUACUUGUUUGGGAUUGUGGUAUCGAAUGUGAUUCAAAAUAUUUUUCACUUAGAAAUGUAUCAAAAUAAUAUUUUUUAAAAAAUUAUUUUUAAAAUCUAUAUAUUAAAAUAAUCUAAAUAUAUAUAAAAAUAAUUUUUUAUAAAAAUAUAAAAUUUAAAACACACGAUGCAAACCGUGUUACCUGUGGACAAGGGACACAGGUCUUAAAAGAGUAACCUUUUAAAGAGGGUAAUGCAAUGUCCUCUAGUGAUGGGGAUUCUUUCUUUGUGGACAAAAGGGGCGGUGCCAUACAGCCAAAGAUUUGAUCAAUAUGGAUAAUGACAUUUGCAGCAAUUGCAUUCUUUCAUUUAUUUUUAUUUGAGUGAUUGUACUAAUUUUUUAAAUUUAAAUAUUUAUAUUUAUCAAAAUAUUCAUGUGGUUGUUAAUUUUUCGUUAAGUGGAUUGAAGUUAAUAUUUUUUUAUUCUUUUUUAGGGAUAAUGACAUUUGAGUAAUUGCAUUCUCUCAUUUGUUUUUAUUUGAGUAUUUAUACUGAAUUGUUUCUCUUUAAAUAUUUAUACUUAUAAAAUUUGAUGCAUCAAGUAGUUUUAUUAGUUUUGUUAUUGAAAUGUUAAAGUGGUAGUUAACUUUUCAUUAAUGGAUUCAGAUUAAUAUUAUUUUAAUAUAAAUUUUAAUAUAAUUAAUUUUUUAUUCUAAAAAUGCCCUUAACCUGUACAAGAAUAUGAUUUUACUUAUUAAAAAAAAAACAAUUUCUCAAGAAUUUAAUGGUUGAGUAAUUUUGAUUUUUUAUUUUAUUUCUUAAGAUAUUUUGAGAAUUUGUUUUAAAAAACCUUUAAUCUAGGCCACCGAUUUGAAAAAUCCAGACUUGCCAAAAUCCAGACUUUAUAUCAAAUUUGAAAAAUAAAAAUGUAGAAUGCUGAUUUGCAAUAAAUCUUUUUUAUUUGGAAUAGGAUAGCUAAUCUAUUUUAAAGCAUUAAGACUUUGUUUGUUUUUGCGUUUUCAAAGUGUUUUUGACAAAAAAAAAUUUAAUUUUUUUCUUUACUUCAAAUUAAUAAUUCUUUUUAUGUUUUAAGAUCAUUUUGAUGUGGUGAUGUCAAAAAUAUUUUUUAAAAAAUAAAAAAUAUUAUUUUGAUGUAUUUCCGAGUGAAAAAUACUUUGAAAAUCAACAAAUUGAUUACAAAAAUAACAUAGACACUUGAUUGAUCAAAUUUCACAAGUAUAAUUACUGAAAUAACAAAAAAAAGAGUAUGAGUGUUUUGAAGAGAUCAUUACAAAUUUCAUAUUUAAACUUUUUUAUUUUUUCUAUUCAAGUAUUCUAACUUUUAUUUUCAGUAUUUGAAUUUGUGAAUUUUCAAAUUUUUUCUAUGCAACUAUUUUUAUUAGAUUCUAUUAAUUACAUGUUGACAUGGUUGUUAAAUUGACAUGUCAUCAUGUUAAAUUUAAACGUCAUCAUGCUGACUUGGCUGUUAAACUGCAGAAACAUUUCACUUUAUUUCUCAAGUGUCUAUACACAUUUGAACUGUUUUUCUAUUUAAAUGUACACAUUUCUUUUAUCUAUUUGAAUGUUUGUACUUUUAAAAGAGUUAUCAAUUGAGUGCAUUUAAUUUUAUGCAGUCCAUAUUCCACUAAGAAAAUAAAACACUACAACAUUUCACAGUUUUACCGACGGACAUAUUCCGUCGGUGUAUGAUAGAACGGUCAUCGGUAAAUUAUUUACCGACUAUAUUACCGACGGAAUACGCCCGUCGGAAUACCUUUUGUCGGUAAUUCCACAUUCCGUCGCUAUAUCGGUCGGAAAUACAAAAAAAACAUUCACCGACGAACCGUGCGCGUCAAAAAAAAAAGUUUCCCGCUUGAAAUAUACCGACGGAAUAUUUUCUGUCAGUGUUAUGUAAAUACCGACGGAUUAAAUUCGUCGGUAAAAGUGUCGGUGAUGUUUCAUACCGACCGAAUAUUUCCGUCUGUAAAUUCGUCGGUAAGUUAUACCGACGGAUUAUGUCCGUCGAUGAAUAUGUCGGUGAUAGGAUGAAAUACCGACAGAAUAUGUCCGUCUGAAUAUUCGUCGGUGAUGGUGGCAGACACUGUCCAAUGCCGACGGAGUUAUUCCGUCGGUAAAUCCCUGUGUAAUUUUUUUUUAAUUUUUUAGAAAAAAUAAUUUAAAUUAAUGAUAAUACAAACCAAUUAUGCAAAUAAAAUUUAUAUUAAGCAACAAAAACUCAAAGUUAAAUAAUAUUCAUUACAAAAUGAAUGUGUUUCAAAAAAACAUUAAACGAAAUUUUAAAUAUAAAUAAUGUUUAUUAAAAAUUAAUAUAAAGGUGGAGGAGGAGGAGGAGGAGGAGGCUGGGGGUUAGGCGGCCAAAAAAGAUUAGGCGCACAUGUUCCACCUUGUGUCAUGUUCAUGAUCAUUUGGCGAAGCUCUUCAUAGGCCGCUCUUUGUUGUUCAGACUCUGCUCUGUGUUGUUCGUUCACCAAUCUUUGCUAUUCUUUUAGUUGUGUGUACACCUCUAAUAGUGUAAUAUUUUGAGUUUAAAAUUGGAAAAUACAAUAAAGCCCUUGGAGGCUUAAAGAGUGAGUAAAUUUGAAUAAGGGGUAUUAUGGUAAUUGGAUAAAUAGUUGAUAAAUAUAAAUAGAAAAAUAAAGAGGGAUCUGAAAAUUUGAAGAACAAACCGUAAGAGAGAAGGGAGGAAGAAGAAGAAGAGAAAAGAAGGGGAAAAGGAAGAGAAGUAGAGGAAAUAAGUUUAAAAAGGUAAGAUUUAUGGUUUGAAGUGUAUAAUAUGUUUAAUUUUGGUUUUGAUAAAUGUUAGGGUUUUGAAGUUUGUAUUUUGAGUUAAUUGAUGAAUUAAUUUGAAGGUUAGGAGUUGAUUAUUGUAGGUAUUUGAUUAAUUAGUUGAUUUUGAGAGAUUGAAUUAAAGGAUAAUGAUUUUGAGUUAUGAUUUUGUUUAAAUGGUGAAAUUGUAUUAGAAAUCAGGGGAUAACAGUAGGUGAUCUGUUGAAAUUCUGGGUUUGAGGUUGAAGAUGACGAAAAUUCAGUUUGGUCCCUCAAUUUGCAAAAAUUGCAGUUUAGUCCCCGAACUUUGGAAAUAUUACAAAUUGGUCCCUGGAGCAUAUUCCGAGAUUCUGAACAGAAUAACAUAUGGAUUAUGGGCAGAAUUACUGUAUAGAUAAGAGAAUUUAACACUUUCAAUUUGGUCCUCCAAUUUGACAAAUUACGAUUUGACCCCUAAAAUGUUGAUAAAAUCACAUUUAGGACCUUGGGGCAUAAUUCAAGAUUCUGGACAAAGAUAAGGACGAAUUAUGGAUAAAUUUCAGUAUGGUUAUGUAUUUACAGUUUGGUCCUCCAAUUUCUCCAAUUUUUGGUAAAAUUACAUUUUGGUCCCUGUUUUGGAAAAUUGUCGUUUUAGUCCAUAAACUUAGGAGAUUAAGCCCAGUUUUAUUUUAUGCAUUGGGAUCUUUUGUUUGAAUUGUUUUUUAGUAUGUUUCAUAUAUUUAUUGUAGGUUCUCCUACCGAUCCUUAAUCGAAUUUUCGGGUCUUUCGUCUGACAUUCCUUUUAGUUCUAUAUUUUCCGGGUGAGUGGAAUAAUCUUUAAUAUUCAUAUAAUAUAAAUAAAUAUGUAUGUUGAUUAUACAAUGAGUACAACUAGUAAAUUUCUUGAAUAUUUAUAUAUGUUGCUUUAUUUUCCGAGUACUCAUUUAUUCUUGAAUUUGCACUCGCAAUCUGUUAAAGUAAAUUCUAUUUGAUAUGAUAUACGUUUCUUUGAUGAUUAUGUGAAUAUCUAUUAUGCCUUGAUAUGGGACUUGUCAGUAACUCCAUGCUAACAGAGAAUAGUUAGCCUGUGUGCACAUAGUAUUUUGUUACCUAGCUGGUGAGAGAGGCAUCAGCCUGUGGCGACUGAUCAUCCCACAGUGGUCACCGACGGGUGUCAUCUGGUCACCUUCGGGUGUCAUCUGGUCACCUUCGGGUGUCAUCUGAUCUCUAACAUGUAAUCCACUACGUUAUGAUAAUAUGUUUAGUAUGAAUAUGUAUAUGUAUAUGUAUAUCAAGAUAAAUAUAGUUAUCUGAAAUAUCUGAAAUGUAUAUUAAAUGUUAUUCCCUCACUGAGUUGGUUGAACUCACCCUCAUUCUUAAUAUUAUUUCAGGUUCUUAGUUUUUGAUAGCAGUUGGAUUUUGUUGAGUGUUUCCGCUUCUUCAGUUCUGGUCGGUAUGCCUUGCUUGUCCGCGAGGUUUUCCUUUCAAGUUUGAUUUGAUGUCUUAGACGCUCCACUGUUACCUUGGUUUAAUUAAAUUUGGACUUUGACAAUGUAAUGAAUAUUAUGAAUUAUUAUUUUUGUUUUAAUAAUUAUCUUUCGGUUUCAUCAGUAUUUGAAUAAUAUGAUAUUUCUGAAUAUUAUGAGCCGCUGCGUAUUUUUGAAUAAAUUGUACUUUUGGUAUGUCCGUUGUGAGGCUUAGCGCAGGUGGGGUGUCCUUUCGGCACCGCUCCUGCGUUGCCGGUCACGGACCCGGGAUUCGGGUCGUGACAAAUAGGUGGUCGCACCUUUGCUGCAAGGCCAUGAACUCCUUAGAUUGGGAGCUUGAUACAGAUUGGGAGCUCCCAACGGUUGAAGCAGUACCGGUCGACCGCAAGUUGGUGGCGGUAGUGUUGGAGAGCCUGUAAACCCGAUUUUUAUCGGGUCCACCUGACGAUCCAGCCUCCAUCCACAAAUCCGGAUCGAAUUCCGGAUGGGUCGAAGGAUCGUCCCCGUAUCUCUCCCUCAACUGAUUAUUUUAGGUCUCCUGAAAAAAAAAAUCAUCAUAUUCAAUUCAAUAAACAUAAUAAUAACUUACAAAAUAAAAUAGUUGAGCAAACAUACCACAAACAGCUCCAUAGGGCUCGGCUCACGUCCAAGAGACAUAGCCUAUAAUGAAAAAAAUUUAUUAACAACAAAUUAAUUGAACGAUAUAUUUCAUUUAAAUUAAUCUUACCAUCCGUUUCGCAUGUGCAGCAAACGGAACGGAGCCGCCGGUGUGCGUUGUCACCGAGCCAUGAAUUGGCCAAUUCCGGUUGCCAGCACCGGACUGUGAGCGUCGAGUGAACCGCUCAGACGUCACGUGCUGAAGAUAGUGUGGCCAUAUAUCUUCCGGGAUGUAUAUCAGUUUGAAAUCCCUCCAAACCGCAACAUCAUUCCAGCCUUCGAACCCCUUAUCCCUCGCUGUUUUUUUUGCCUUUUUCUGGGUGUCAUACCAAAAAUCACGCAACCUAAUUCACGCACGAAAAAAUUACAUUUCGAAACAUAAAUAAUUAUGUAAAAAAAAAGUCGUAUUGUUUUCGAUGUUACCUAAUUGCCGCGUGAUUUUCCCACACCCUCCUCACAACAGUGUCAUGUUCAUCGUCCCAGUUGAAUCGAUGCUGUGUAUAAAUUUUUUUUUUAAAAAAAUGUUAACAAUUUAUUUACAAUUAUAACUAGAAUUUAUUAGAAAUAAGCUGAAAAUUAUAUAUUAACACGAACCUCAAAUCUAUGAAACCAUGCAUUGAUUUGAGGCAUCCAUUCAGGAUGCCUGGAUAUCUGACUCCAUUGAAACAAUGGAAUCUCCAUCGACGCUUUAAACGUCGAUGAUAUUACUCGGGCGGCCUCAAUGUUUGUGAACCUGAAAAGAAAUGAAAUUAAUGAAAUAGUGAUUACUUCAUAAAUUAUGUUUUAAAUUUGUUUUAUAUAUAUAUAUAAAAAACUAAAACUCUUAACAAACUUACAUUGAAAGAUCGUCCUUCCACUGUGCCUCGUACUUGCGGGUAAAUUGAUUCCGCUGCGAAGGCACGCCGCUUCUGCGAUGUGAAAUAUCGCUGGAAGAGGUAGCAUCGGUUGACGGCGCAGGUGGUGUAGGUGCCUCUUCUUGAGAGGCACCUAAGGAAACAUCAACAUCGAUGCUAGACGAACUUGAUUCGAAUGGACGUGAACGACUAGCUCUGGAUUUCAUUAUCCGCAUCUAAACAAUUUUAUAUAAAUAAUUGUAUAAUAAAAUUCAAAAGUUAAAAAAAUUCAGCAGCACCUCCCCUAUACUGGAUACUGCCCAAAUCCACAAACCUGCAAAUAUUAACAAUAGCCACAACCAAUUGACCCAAUUUAUACUAAUUAUUCCAACAUAUUCAACUAUUAAUCAUAAGAUAAAUUCAACGUUAACAAUUACAAUUCACAAAUUAUUCAAUAAUUAUGUCAAUACAACAAAACUAUAAAUUCAAAAUAAAUAGAAACAAUUAAACACAAAUCAUCAAGUUAGAGUAAAAUUAAUAAUUCUUCCAACAUAUUCAUUCAUUAAAUCUAAGAUAAAUUCAACAUUAACAAUAUUAAUUCAACAAAUUAUUAAAUAAUUAUGGCAAUACAACAAUAAAAUAUAUUCAAUAAAAUAAAAAAUAAUUAUAGCCUAACAAUUAAAAUCAAUGGAAACAGUUAAACACAAAUCAUGCAAUAAUAUAAAAAAAAUACUAAUUAUUCCAACAUAUCCAAUUAUUAAUUCUAAGGUAAAUUCAACCUUAACAAUUAUAAUUCAACAAAUUAAUCAAUAAUUAUAUAUGGCAAUACAACAAUAAAUUAUAUUCAAUAAAUUAAAAAAAAUAUAGACUAACAAUUAAAAUCAAUGAAAAUAAUUAAACACAAAUCAUGCAAUAAUAGAGUAAAAUUAAUAAUUAUUCUAACAUAUUCAAUUACUAAUUCUAAGUUAAAUUCAACUUUAACAACAAAUAUUCAACAAAUUAACUAAUAUGUUAUUAUGACAACAAACCAAUAAAAAAUAUUCAAAAAAUUCAAAAAUAAAACCUACAUCAAGAAAAGGAACGAAAUAUACAUACCUUGAUAAUGUGACAAAUUCAAAACUUUAUCUACAUUACAAAAAAAACACCAAAACACCAAAAUAACAAAAUAAAAACAACUAAAAAUAAAUUAAAAGUAAAUAAAAUAAAUUGGAAAAAAACACAUACCUUUUAAUAUGAGGAAGAUUCUGAGGUGCAAAUGGAGGAGAAGAGAAGAAAAGCGGCGCGGGAAGAAGAAGAAAAAAUGAGGCGAAGCGGCGGGGGCUGGAACUUAUAUGGCAGUUUUGCCGACGGAAUCACCGACGAAAUUAAAGCCAGUCGGUAACAGGUCAAACAUUCCGUCGGUAACAGGUCAAAAAUCCAUCGAUAAUUUUUUGAAUUUCGCACUGAAUUUUUAAAAGCCCUCUAUAUUUUUCGAAGUCCGUCGGUGAUUCCGUCGGUAAUCUGACAAGUUCAGAGGCGCUUUAAUUCACACACUUUGGAAAUCGCGCGGUCCGUCGGCAUUUCUGUCGAUAAUAAGUGUGACCGACAAAUUACCGACGGAAAUAUUCCGUCGGUAGUAGCGUCGAAAAAUACGUCAGUGAAUCCGUUGGUGAAAGUGGUAUUUUGUUGUAAUUAUUUUCGAACUCUCUGUGAGAUACCGACGGGCUAGAAUCCAUCGGUGAACCCGUCGGUGAGGUGGCAUUUUGUUGUAAUAUUUUCGAACUCUCUGUGAGAUACCGACGGGCUAGAAUCCGUCGGUGAUUGUGGCAUUUGUUGUAAAUAUUUUCGAACUCUCUGUGAGAUACCGACGGAUUAUCCGUCGUGUAUGUGUCGGUGAUCCGUCGGAAAGUGUUGUCAUUUGCGUUUAUUUGAACUUCCUGCAAAACUUAACUGAUAAACUGUCCAUCACAUAAAACAAUAACCACAUUGCUUAAACAUACACAUCAUCAUAAUCUAAAUUACAUGAGACAAAUGUUUUUACAUAGGGCUUCAUUUUCAUAAUUAGUCGGAAUUUUCUUCUUCUUCCUCAUCAAUUGAAUUGUCAUCAUCUUCAUCGCAAUCUUCAAUAUGGAUAUCAUCUUCUUCAUCGACAUUUGCUUGUCCGCUAGAGCUGAGAACAACAUUCAACUCCUCUCCGUCAAUAUCAACAAGACUAUCAUCGAGAACUCGAAAAUUUGAAUUUUCUUCCAAUUCAAUCGAAGGAGCAACUCGAUAUGGUUCAACCAACUCACGAACUUGAAAGACUUCAUCUCGCACACUUGUGUCUUCGUUCUCAUCCUGAACAACCUCGACACGACCCCGUGGUUUCGUUUUUAAAACGGACAACCAAUCAACUCUUGACGAUCCUUUCUAAAUGAAGGGGUGUAUGUGUAAUAAACUUGUUGACAUUGCUUUGCGAAAACAAAGACAUCGUUUAUGUUGCGGAGUCUAGCUUUUGAGUUGAUUUCGACCAGACCAUGGUGCGGAUCAACUCUGAUUCCUCUGUCCGUCGUGUCAUACCAAUAGCAUUUGAAUAAAAACACUUUAUUCUGCUCGCUAUGAUAUUGCAGUUCGACGACCUCUUCUAAUCUACCAUAGUAGUCAACUUCUAACUGGCUACUUGUGGAUCCCUUAACACAAACACCGCAGUUGUAUGUCUUUCUUCCUUGCCCGUAUUCUUCAGUAUGGAAAACAUAUCCAUUGACAAAAUACCCGUUGUAGCACUUAACUUUUCUUUCAGGGCCGAGGCUUAGUGAAGACAAUGACUUGGGCGCACUCCUUCCCAUUUGAUAAACCUUGUAAAUAUAUGUAAUUAAAUGUACAUCAAUACACGGUAAAUGAACGAGAAUCUCGUAAUGACAUGCAUACGUUAGAAUGAGUUUGUGAUAGUGCUUACAUGUGUUCUGAACCAUGUGGCAAAUUGUUCAUCUUGUAAUUGAAAGAUCUGGGAUUCGGUCAGCUGCGAGUUAUUGGAGAGCAAAUAUUGUCGAUGUUGCCUGCAAGUGAUAAUGAGUGUAUGAUAUUACAAUAUAUAAUUAACAGUAUAUUACUGACAAAGUUUAAUUAGUAUUACACAUAUAUAGACUUACUGAAUAAAUGGUCUCAGCUCAUCACAGUUAAAUAGAACAUAGUUGUGUGCUUGUUUGAAUUCUAUUUCCGACAAAUAUCUUCCUCUUACGGCAUUUUUAGGUGUGGGUCGUCCAGUAUUGGAGAAUAUUGACAAGUUCCCACUGGAAGGCACUUCACCGCCAUCGUCAUGCCGUGGAACGCGAUUGAUUCUUGUUCUCAGAUGAGGUUCGAAAUAGUACGAGAUAAAUGUUGAUAUCUCUUCAACAAUAUAGGCCUCAGAUAUCGAAGCCUCAACAUGCGCCUUGUUCUUAACCUUUUUUUUUAGAUUAAACAAGUACCUGCAUUGAAGUACAAUUCAAGUAUUUUCAAAUAAGAAAAACAUAGAAAAUACUUUAAGAUAUGAAUUCCAUUGCAACUGUAAUAUCUCACCGUUCGAAUGGGUACAUCCAUCUAUACUGGACCGGUCCUCCAGCUUUUGCCUCGAACGGUAGAUGUAUAGGGAGAUGCUCCAUUGAGUCAAAAAAUGAAGGAGGGAAUAUCAUCUCAAGUUUGCAUAGUGUCUCGAUGAUAUUCGUUUGAAGCAUCUCAAUGUGCUCAACAUUCAUCUUGCUGGAGCAUAUAUCUCUGAAGAAAUGACUGAUCUCCGUUAGUGCAUCCCAUAUUCCCUUUGGCAACAAAUCACGAAAAGCUAAUGGGAUGAGUGUUUGCAUAAACACGUGGCAGUCAUGCUCUUCAUUCCAUACAAUCUGCAGUCCUCUAUGUUAACAAGCCUUGAUAUGUUCGAUGCAUGUCCAUCCGGGAAACGCAGACUCUUAAGCCAUUUGUAGACUAGCAGUUGUGUUUUUCUCUAACACGAAGCUUGCCCUUGGUUUUGCAACCCGUGACUCGUCAUAAACCAACUCCAUAUUUUUACGGUUACAGUAUAAAGCUAUAUCCAAUCUAGCCUUCAUGUUGUCCUUUGUCUUCCCCUUCACAUCCAUGACGGUGUUGAAAAUAUUCUCAAACACGUUCUUUUCGAUGUGCAUGACGUCAAGGUUAUGGCGGAGAAGAUUAGUCUUCCAAUACGGAAGCUCCCAAAAGAUACUUCGCUUUACCCAAUUAUGGGUCAAACCAAAACCAGGAAACUUUUGCUUACCUGAUUGAAGGCCAAACACAAUGUCACCGUACUCUGAUACAACAUGAUGCAAUUCUUCACCAGAAAGACGCGGGGAUGCAACAUCUUUUUCAACUCUACCAACAAAGAAAUCUUUUCUGUUCUUUCUGAACCUGUGAUUAAGUGGCAAGAAGCGACGGUGACAGUCAAAAAAAGAAGCUUUACCUCCGUUUGCUAGCGUGAAUGCCUUGUUGUUUUCCAUGCAGUAUGGACAUGCGAGUUUCCCAUGCGUGCUCCAACCAGAAAGCAUUCCAUAAGCUGGAAAAUCACUGAUAGUCCACAUCAAAGCCGCCCUCAUAAGGAAAUUUUGUUUCCUCGAUAUAUCAUAAGUCAGAGAUCCGGAGGACCACAACUGCGCCAGCUCAUCUAUCAACGGUCGAAGACAAACAUCUAUAUUCCGCCCCGGGCUGCUUGGACCGGGUAUGACAGUAGAUAGAAACAUGAACUCCGGCCUCAUACACAUUCCCGGUGGCAAGUUAUAAACUGUGAGAAUGACCGGCCAACAAGAAUAGGGAGCAGCAAAUGACCCAAAUGGGUUGAACCCGUCUGUACACAACCCAAGUCGAACAUUCCUUGAUUCAGCAGAAAAGUCAGGAUGAACACUGUUAAAGCGUUUCCACGCUUCGCCGUCAGAAGGAUGCACCAUCACACCAUCAACGACAUCGUGUGUUUGGUGCCAUGUCAUGUGCUCAGCAGUCCUUGGUGACAUAAAUAACCUCUGCAGUCUAGGUGUGAUCGGGAAAUAUCUAAGUUUUUUAUAUGCCACUAGAGUCUUCCCCCUGCCAGUUCUGGGUUUGUAACGGGAAUGCCCGCAUGUCAUGCACUCGGUCAUCUCAGCAUUUUCAAGGUAGUAUAACAUGCAGAAGUUAGGGCACAUGUCAAUUUUCUGGUAUCCUAAACCGAGGGGUUUCAUCAUGGACUUCGCAGCAUAGAAGUUCUCUUUGAGCCUGUUCCCUUCUGGUAAAAUGCUUCUUGCCCAAUCAAUAAUUUUGUCAUACCCGGCCUCACUCAACCCGUGAUCUGACUUGAUGGUGAACACCUGUGCCACAGCCGAUAAUUUACUGUGGUUUGUGCAGCCAUCCCAUAAUGGUUCGUCAGAAUCUUUCAACAAAUCAAAAAACCUAGCUGCCUCUGCAUUAGGUUCUUCUUCUACGAUUGGACAUUGAUUGACAUUAUCUUGAUUCAUUCUCAUUGCAUCCAUAACCAUGUUUCUGUAAGGAUUAGUGUUGUCAUUUGCCGCUUCAUGCACGUUGCUAGCACUAGAAGUUGACCCAACCACCGUUUCUCCCAUUCUCCUAUUACUAACAAAUACCUCUCCAUGUGCAUACCAACACUCGUAAUCCUCCACAAACCCUUUGUGUAGAAGAUGCAUCAUUACAACAUCUGGAUGCAGAUACUUUUUAUUUUGACACUUCCUGCAUGGACACCUAAUACCGCCUCCAGUAAAAUUUCUGGGAAUAGAUGUUGCGAAAUUAAUAAAACCCUGAACCCCGUUACAAUAAUCCAUCCUCCGCAAUCCUUGGGGUGAAUCUAGAUACAUCCAUGAACGAUCAUCCAUGACUUCUAUCGAACCUCUAUAAAAAGGACCCAUUAAGCAAGCUCUUAAUUAUUUCAAAACAUAACAUGUAAUUCGGUAAUUCUACAAAUUAAGUUUUAACAAUUUCAAACAAAUACAAUCUUACAAAAUCUAAAACAAACCAUAACAAGUAUAAAAUUAUACAUUCAUAUACUACAAGUUUGUUUGAGAAAUAACAAUAAAACAUGUACAUCUACUAAAAAAAAUACAUAUACUAAAAAAAUAAAAUUGACAUUUAAAUGUUAAAAUUUUAAAAGAUAGAAUUACUUACAAAAAAUGAUAAAAUCCGUCGGUAAAUCAGAACACGGAUGCUGUGACCACAAAACUUCAAGAAAUACAACUUGUUGUGCUGAGAUGAGGAAGAUUUUUUUUUUUUAGGGCGAGGGGGGGCUAGUUAUUUGCAGAUGGGGAGGGUUAGGAUUAGGAAGAAGAAGGAGAAAUGAGGGAGGAGAGUGUCGGCAGAGUGGCCAUAUAUUCACUUUUGCCGACGGACUUACCGACGGUUUUAUUCCGUCGGUGAAUACGUCGGCAAAACCGUCGGUAAUUCUGACGGGCAAUCAACACGUCACCGCACGGACCUGCUAUUCAAAUCCCUCGGUGAUCCGUCGGUAUUUUUAACGGUGGACCGGUCGCGUCACCGGUAUGGAUCUGGCAUUUCAAAUCAGUCGGUGAUUCCGUCGGUAUUAUUGACGGUGAACAGGUCCCAUCAUGCGUACGGCUCCCCGGUUUUCAUUCCGUCGGAAAAAUCACCCGCCAAAACCUCCGCGCCUUUUUUUUCAUUAAUUCUGAAUUUUCUGUCGGUAAUUCGGUUGGUGAAUUCGACCGAAAAAUACCGACAGAAAAAAUUCCGUCGGUGAGUCCGUUGGUAUUUAGCGAAUUUCUGGUAGUGAAAUAUAAAAGAUCAAUAAAAAGUAAUCAUUAUAUUCAAUUUAAUAAAUAUAAUAAUAACUUACAAAAUAAAAUUGUUGAACAAACAUACCAUGAAAUGUUAAGCAUGGCUGUCAACAAACUGUUUCGCCCCCUUUUGACGGUCUUGACUCCGCAUGUGCGUCUCCAUAAACAACUCCAUCGGGCUCGGCUCACGUCCAAGAGACGUAGCCUAUAAUGAAAAAAAUUUAUUAAAAACAAAUUAAUUGAACGAUAUAUUUCAUUUAAAUUAAUCUUACCAUCCGUUUCGUAUGUGCAGCAAACGAAAGGAAGCCGCCGGUGUGCAUUAUCACCGAGCCAUGAAUUGGCUGAUUCCGGUUGUCAGAACUGGAUUAUGAGCGUCGUGUGAACCGCUCAGAUGUCACGUGUUGAAGAUAGUGCAGCCAUAUAUCUUCCAGGAUGUAUAUCGGUUUGAAAUCUCUCCGAACUGUAACAUCGUUUUAGCCUUGGAACCCCCUAUCCCUCGCUUUUUUUUUGGGCUUUGUACAAAAAAUCACGCAACCUACUUCACGCAAGAAAAAAAUACAUUUCGAAACAUAAAUUUUUUUCUAAAAAAAAGUUGUAUUGUUUUCGAUGUUACCUAGUUGCUAUGUGAUUUUCCCAUACCCUCCUCACAAUAGUGUUAUGUUCACUGUCCUAGCAGAAUCGAUCUUGUGGAUAAAUAAUAAUAAUUUAUUUACAAUUAUAUUAAUAAUUUAUUAGAAAUAAGCUGAAAAUUAUAUAUUAACACUAACCUCAAAUCUGGAAAACCAUGCAUUGAUAUCUGACUGCAUUGAAACAAUGGAAUCUCCAUCGACGAUUUAAACGUAGAUGAUAUUACUCGGGCGGCUUCAAUGUUUGUGAACCUGAAAAUAAAUGAAAUUAAUGAAAUAAUGAUUACUUCAUAAAUUAUGUUUUAAUUUUUUUUUAAAAAAAACUAAAACCUUUACAAACUUGCAUUGAAAGGCCGUCCUUCCACUGUGCCUCGUACUUGCGGGUAAAUUAAUUCCGCUGUGAAGGCACGCCGCCUCUACGCUAUGAACUAGUGCUGGAAGAGGCAGCAUCGGUUGACAGUGCAGGUGGUGUAGGUGCCUUUUUUUGAGAGGCAUCUAAGGAAAUAUCAUCCUCGCUGCUAGACAAACUUGUUGCGACCGGACGUGAACGACCAACUCUGGUUUUCAUUUUGCGCAUCUACCCAAUUUUAUAUAAAUAAUUAUAUAAUUAAAUUCAAAUGUUACAAAAAUUCGACGGCACCUCCCUGAUACUAGAUGCUACCCAAAUCCACAAACAUGCAAAUAUUUACAAUAGCCACAACUAAUUGGCCCAAUUUAUACUAAUUAUUCCAACAUAUUCAAUUACUAAUUCUAAGGUAAAUUCAACAUUAACAAUUACAAUUCAAAACAUUAUUCAAUAAUUAUGCCAAUACAACAAAACAAUAAAUUCAAAAUAAAUGGAAACAAUUAAACACAAAUCAUGCAAUAAUAGAGUAAAAUUAAUAAUUCUUCCAGCAUAUUCAAUUACUAAUUCUAAGGUAAAUUCAACAUUAACAAUAUUAAUUCAACAAAUUAUUCAAUAAUUAUGCCAAUACAACAAUAAAAUAUAUUGAAUAAAUUAAAAAAGAAUUAUAGACUAACAAUUAAAAUCAAUGGAAACAAUUAAACACAAAUCAUGCAAUAAUAUAGUAAAAUUACUAAUUAUUCCAACAUAUUCAAUUACUAAUUCUAAGGUAAAUUCAACAUUAACAAUUAUAAUUCAACAACAAUAAAAUAUAUUUAAUAAAUUAAAAAAAAUAUAGACUAACAAUUAAAAUCAAUGAAAAUAAUUAAACACAAGUCAUGCAAUAAUAGAGUAAAAUUACUAAUUAUUCCAACAUAUUCAAUUACUAAUUCUAAGGUAAAUUCAACAUUAACAAUUAUAAUUCAACAACAAUAAAAUAUAUUUAAUAAAUUAAAAAAAUAUAGACUAACAAUUAAAAUCAAUGAAAAUAAUUAAACACAAGUCAUGCAAUAAUAGAGUAAAAUUACUAAUUAUUCCAACAUAUUCAAUUACUAAUUCUAAGGUAAAUUCAACAUUAACAACAAAUAUUCAAUAAAUUAACUACUAACAAUUAUGCCAAUACAAUAAUAAAAAAUAUUCAAUAAAUUCAAAAAACAAAAAAGCUAUAGACUUUAGGAAAUAAAUAUGCAUACCUUAAUAAUGUGUUGAAUUCAAACUUUAUCUACAUUACAAAAAAAUACACCAAAACAAAAAACAUAGAAAGAAUAAAAAUAACUAAAAAUAAAUUAAAAUUAAAUAAAAUAAAAUAGAAAAAAACACAUACCUUUUAAUGUGAUAAAGAUUCACAACAAAUCUUGCUAGAGAUUCUAGGUGAAAGCCUUGAAGGAUUGAGAGGAAAAAAAUCAAAAUUUUAAGGUGAAAAACUGGAGGAGAAGAAAAAAUGAACUAAAGGGGCGGUCACUGGAAUUUAUAAGGCAGUUUUACCAUCGGAUUCACCGACAGAAAUAAAAAAUUAUGAUUAUUUUAAUUAAAUCCAUUGGUAAACUAUCAAAAAUCCGUUGGCAAUUUUUGAGUUUUGCACCGAAAGUUUUAAUUAGCCUCCAUAUUUUUCACAGUCCGUCGGUAGUUUGACACGGUCAGAGGUGCAUUCAAUGCACACCCUUUGGAAUUCGCACAUUCCAUCGGUAUUUUUGUUGGUAAAAUUUGCCCACCGACAAAUUACCGACAGACAUAAUUACAUCGGUAUGGACGUUGGUUAUUGUGGCAUUUUGUUGUAAUUAUUUUCGAACUCUCUGUGAGAUGCUGACGGAUAUGAGUCCGUCGGUAUGGACGUCGGUGAUUGUGGCAUUUUGUUGUAAUUAUUUUCGGACUCUCUGUGAGAUGCUGACGGACGUGAGUGCGUCGGUAUGGACGUCGGUGAUUGUGACAUUUUUUUGUAAUUAUUUUUGAACUCUUUAUGCGUCCGUCGGUGAUUGUGGCACUUUACAAGAAAUGUUGUAUUUGUAUUGCCUAUUUACCUUCCUGCAAAAACUUAAAUGAUGAACUGUCCAUCGCACAAAACAAUAACAACAGUGCUUAAACAAUAAAUAUUUUUUGUUACAAAAUAUAUCAUUCAUAAUCUAAAUUACAUGAAAAAAGGGUUUUACACAAUGCUACGUUUUGAUAGUUAGUCAUAAUUUUCUUCUUCUUCGUCAUCAAUUGAAUACUCAUCACCUUCAUCGCAAUCUUCAAUAUGGAUAUCAUCUUCUUCAUCGACAUUUGCUUGUUCACUAGAGCUCAAAACAACGUUCAACUCCUCUGCGUCAACAUCAAUAAGACUAUCAUCGAAAACACGAAAAUUUGAAUUUUCUUCUAAUUCAAUCGAAGGAGCAACUCGAUAUGGUUCAACCAACUCACUAACUUGAAAGACUUCAUCUCACACACUUGUGUCUUCAUUCUCAUCCUGAACAACCUCGACAUGACCUCGUGGUUACGUUUUUAAAACGGACAACCAAUCAACUCUUGAUCGAUCCUUCCUAAAUGAAGGGGUGUAUGUGUAAUAAACUUGUUGACAUUGCUUUGCGAAAACAAAGACAUCGUUUAUGUUGUGGAGUCUAGCUUUUGAGUUGAUUUCGACCAGACUAUAGUGCGGAUCAACUCUGAUUCCUCUGUCAAUCGUGUAAUACCAAUAGCAUUUGAAUAAAAACACUUUAUUCUGCUGGCUAUGAUAUUGCAGUUCGACGACCUCUUCUAAUCUACUACUAGUGGAUCCCUUAACACAAACACCACAGUUCUAUGUCUUUCAUCCUUGCCCGUAUUCUUCAGUAUGGAAAACAUAUCCAUUGACAAAAUACCAGUUGUAGCACUUAACUUUUCUUUCAGGCCCGAGGCUUAGUGAAGACAUUGACGUAGGCACACUCCUUCCCAUUUGAUAAACCUUGUAUAUAUGUAAUGUAUAUUAAUAAACAGUAAAUGAACAAGAAUCUCGUAAUGACAUGCAUACGUAUAGUAAUUUUGCAAGUUAGAAUGAGUUUGUGAUAGUGCUUACAUGUGUUCUGAACCAAGUGACAAAUUGUUCAUCUUGUAAUUGAAGAAUCUGGGAUUCGGUUAGUUGUGAGUUAUUGGAGAGCAAAUAUUGUCGAUGUUGCCUGCAAGUGAUAAUGAGUGUAUGAUAUUACAAUAUAUAAUUAACAGUAUAUUAAUGACAAAGUUUAAUUAGUAUUACACAUAUAUAGACUUACUGAAUAAAUAGUCUCAACUCAUCACAGUUAAAUAGAACAUAGUUGUGUGCUUGUUUGAAUUCUAUUUCCGACAAAUAUCUUCCUCUUACAACAUUUUUAGGUGUGUGUCGUCCAGUAUUGGAGAAUAUUGACAAGUUCCCACUGGAAGGCACUUCACCGCCAUCGUCAUGCCGUGGAACGUGAUUGAUUCUUGUUCUCAGAUGAGGUUCGAAAUAGUACGAGAUAAAUGUUGAUAUCUCUUCAACAAUAUAGGCCUCAGAUAUCGAAGCCUCAACAUGCGCCUUGUUUUUAACCUUUUUUUUUAGAUUAAACAAGUACCUGCAUUGAAGUACAAUUCAAGUAUUUUCAAUUAAGAAAAACAUAGAAAAUACUUUAAGAUAUGUAUUCCAUUGCAACUGUAAUAUCUCACCGUUCGAAUGGGUACAUCCAUCUAUACUGGACUGAUCCUCAAGCUUUUGCCUCGAACGGUAGAUGUAUAGGGAGAUGCUCCAUUGAGUAAAAAAAUGAAGGAGGGAAUAUCGUCUCAAGUUUGCAUAGUAUCUCGAUGAUAUUCGUUUGAAGCCUCUCAAUGUGCUCAACAUUCAACUUGCUGGAGCAUAUAUCUCUGAAGCAAUGACUGAUCUCCGUUAGUGCAUCCCAUAUUCCUUUUGGCAACAAAUCACGAAAAGCUAAUGGCAGUCAUGACUCUUCAUUCCAUACAAUCUGCAGUCCUCUAUAUUAACCAGCCUUGAUAUGUUCGAUGCAUGUCCAUCCGGAAAACACAGACUCUUAAGCCAUUUGUAGACUAGCAGUUGUGCGUUUUUCUCUAACACGAAACUUGUGUCACGAUGGGCACCACAAAGGGUAAGUUGUGCAAACAAAUCUAGAAAUAGACUUACAUGGGCCAACUCGAAUAGGCUAGAAGCCAAGCGAUAAAGAUUACCCAAAUUAGAGGUAGCAAGUCCUCAUCAAUCAAGCAACAAGAAGACUAAGAAGAAAUGGGGGCCUAUAUUUAAAAUAAGAUAAAGAUGCAUGCAUAUCAUCUAAACUUUGAGACAUUGGACAAUGAGUUUUGCAAAUUUCAUAAGAGAAAAUUCUAACGGAAUCCAUCAAGUAAAGAUCAACUUAAAAUGGCCAAGAUUGAAAUUGCUUUUGAAAAUUUUUCACUUUUGACCUGGGUAGGCCGCCCAUGAGCAUUAGACCACCUAAAAAAUCUUUACAUUUUUCCACCUCGUUUUGAGUGCACCUUCGAGCUCUUUUUUUCCUUUUGAGUGCACCUUUGAGCCCUCACCUCAUUUUUUUUUUACUGCACCUUUGGGCCCUCGACAAUUAAAGGUAGUGUGUUUCCUACCCUACUGAUUAGUACUUAAAAGUGUAUUUUUAUCAAGGUUUUAUGUUAACAAGUGAAGCAUAGUUACCGUUGCCCAGACAGACUACGUUUUCAAAUCCAAGAACUGCCAUAGAUGACGCAGCAAUGAGUUUAAGGAAUCCAGAAAGUAGUUCCAGGAAUUACUUAUCCACUUCAAUUAUGUAUGGAGGAUAGUUAUUUUAUUUACGAUAACCUAAAACUUAUGGCGUUGUCCUUAAUAAGCCUUUCUUUGAUCACAUUCAGAACACUGGACUCUGUUAUAUGUAAAAGGUGGUUCGAUGAUAUAUAUAUAUAUAUAUAGUAUCUCAUUGUACAAUUGCGUUUCCUCUGUUGACCAUUUACAACAAAACCAUUUCUUGUUUGCCUUCUUUUCUUUAUUAUUUUUUUAUUUUUCUUAUGAAAUUAGAAAAAAGAAAAGUCCAAGAGAGGUCAAUUUCAUUGAUUAACGAACCGGCAGGUAAAUUGAUGGCUACAUUUUUUAUUUUAUUUAGGAAGAUCAUGAAACAUGGCUCAUCAUCUACUAAAUGCUUCUUGCUUUUUUCUUCCUUGUUCAUGAAUGUCACCUUCCAUGGCUAGAAGGAUCUACCGCUUCCUUUUGUUUUGCUUCUGUGCCUCUCACGUUUUGGCAGCAGACACACUGUACCAAGGUGGUGAUUCCCUCAAUUCUUCCAAUACUCUAGUUUCCAAAAAUGGGCUCUUCACUAUAGGAUUCACAAGACUCGGCUCUGCCGAGUCGAAUGCUAGCUACUUGGGAAUAUGGUACAACAAUGACACAAGCCACCCUUUUUGGCUAGCCAACAGAGCCAAACCCAUAGCAGACAAUUCCGAGGUUCUUGCAAUAGAUGGAUCAGGAAAUAUGAAAUUCACCUACUCUGGAGGUGAUCCUGUUGAGUUCUAUUCAAGUCAAUCUUCUGCAAGCAAUAUAACAGCUAUUUUAGAAGAUUCAGGCAAUUUUGUUCUCAAAGAUGAAAAUUCUGGCAACCAACAGGUCUUAUGGCAAAGCUUUGACUUUCCUACUGACAUAUUCUUGCCUGGAAUGAAGUUAGGGAUCAACCAUAAACUGGUCAAACCUGGUCCCUCAUGUCGUGAUUGAGCGACUUAGCACCACUCCCGCUGGUGCUUUCACUUUUGAAUGGGAUACUAAUGGAAAGGAGUUGGUCAUUAAGCGGCGAGAUGUAAUUUAUUGGACUUCGGACCAUUGAGGAGCAAUACUAGUUCGAAAGUCCUUUUCUGGAUGCAGCGGUUCUUGAUUUCAGUUUAUUAAUGUUUUAACGCAGACGAGGAUUACUUUAUGUUCACAGUUUCUGAAAAUCAAUUUACUCCUCAGGGUCAAAGGAAUUUUUCAAUGUGGCAGUUGAGAUCUGAUGGGGGCAUCGAAGAUCUAACUACUGGACGAGUAUAUGGGGGCUCAUCAUGUAAAGGAAAUAAUAAAGAUGGUGGUUACGAGAGUUGGUCAGGACCGGCAUGCAGGAGCAAAAGGAACAGUUUUGAAUUGAGACGAGGUUACUUUGUUAACACAGUUCCUAGUAAGGUCGACGAUAAUUCUAGUCUUAGCAUUAGUGAUUGCAUGGACAUCUGCUGGAAAGAUUGUCAAUGUGUUGGUGUUCCUACCACAGGCAAUAAUGCCAACAAUACUAGGUGCACGUUUUUUUAUGGAAGCUUUACACAAGACCAGAGUGGAAAUGCAAUUCAAUACCACAUCAUUGUUCAAGGCUCUUCAGGUUAGCUGUUCUUUCGUUUUCUGGGUUCCAAUUUGUAACCCCACAAUGCAAUUAAUUUUAAAUAAAUUGCCAUUGGAUUUAGGGAAACGAAUUGGAAAUGGAUUGUUUUAGCUUUUGUGGGAUUUGUUUCGUUGCUGGGGCUCGCGGUACUCUUGUGUUAUCUGAUAAGGAGAAGCCUUGGAGGUAACAUUUUCUAAAUAACAAACAAAUUUACUGAUUUUUUUAUUUUUUAUUUUUUAUUUUGCUUUUAUAAGCAUUAAGACUUGUUGAAUUCCAAGAUUAGCUUACUUUAUCAUAUCAAUCUGAGCAGAUAAGAACCUAUCUGAGUUGCUGACAUUGGAUUCAACGAAUGAUACGCUUGAACUCGAAAAUGACGGAAACAAGGUGGCUUUGGACCAGUUUACAAGGUAGUCUGUCAUAAAUUACUUCAAGAAGGAUUGAAGAACUUAUUAACUUUGUAUCUCGGGCCAAGUAUUGAGCUGAGAGCUGUUUUACUUCAGGGGACAUUGCCGGAUGGGCGAGAGAUAGCUGUAAAAAGACUGUCUAGAAGUUCAGGACAAGGGCUGGUGGAAUUCAGAAACGAGCUUAUACUCAUAGCUAAAUUGCAACACAUGAAUCUUGUCAGGCUCCUAGGCUGCUGCAUUCAAGGGGAAGAUAAAAUGUUAGUGUACGAAUACAUGCCUAAUAAAGCUUGGAUACAUUUAUAUUGGUAAGUUAAUUAUGCCAAUCAUACUAUAAAGUGAAUGGAUCUCUGUUCUUGCAAGGUUUUGGACUUAAUAACAUUGCUGGAAUAUAUUCACUGUUAUUUUAAAUGCAGAUCAAUCAAAAAAGGGAGCUCUAGACUGGAAGAAGCGAUUUGAAAUAAUUGAAGGGAUAGCUCAAGGUCUCCUUUACCUUCAUAAGUACUCGAGAUUGAGGAUAAUUCACCGAGAUUUGAAGGCUGGUAACAUACUACUUGAUGAAAAUCUGAAUCCCAAAAUUUCUGAUUUUGGCAUGGCAAGAAUUUUCAAGAUCAAUGAUUUAGAAGGAAAUACAAACCACAUUGUUGGGACGCGGUAAGUAUAGAUUUACAGUUCUAUGUGUCAUUACUCUGUUAAGUGCUUUAAAGUAACAGAACAUUCACUGUGUCCAUACAGUGGUUAUAUGUCCCCUGAGUAUGUCAUGGAGGGCAUUUUCUCUGUGAAAUCCGAUGUCUUCAGUUUUGGAGUUCUACUGCUGGAAAUUGUGAGUGGUAGAAGGAUCCAUGGCCUCCUUGAAAUAGACGGCCACCCUCUCAAUCUUGUGGGAUAUGUAAGUUCAUUUCAAGCAACCUCAUGAAUGAUAACAUUGCUAGCUGCAUAAGCUUUUAAUUUUAACAUUAAACGUAAACUUGGUUCAGACAUGGGAGCUAUGGAAAGCAAGUAGCCCAUUUGAGGUGGUGGAUCCAAUACUAAGAGAAUCUUGCUCUAAAGACCAAGUCUUGAGAUGCAUUCAUGUGGGCUUGCUAUGUGUAGAAGACAAUGCAGUGGAUAGGCCGAUUAUGUCAGAUGUUAUAUCAAUGCUAACAAGUGAAGCACAAUUACCUCUUCCCAAACAGCCUGCAUUUUCAAGUGCAAGAAGUAUCGUGGAAGAAAACAGCCUGCAUUUUCCAGCAGAGAUUGGUACUUCCAUAAAUAAUGUAUCUCUGUCAACCAUGGAUGCGAGAUAAAGGAUAAUUAGAGCGUUAGAUGGUUUAUGUCUCCUCACAAUCUUGUAUGUCAUGUCGUAUUGGAGCAGUCACAUUCUCUGUAAUGUUUUGAAAUUAAUAAGAUAGGAAAUUACAACAAAGCCCUUGGAGACUUAAAAGUUGGAAUAAAUGAAUAAGGGGUAUUAUGGUAAUUGAACAAAAAUUGAUAAAUAUAAAUAGGAAGUAAAAAAAAAAAAAAGAAAGAAUGAUCUGAAUUAGAGAGAGAACGUGAGAGAGAAGAGGAGAAGAAGAAGAAGAGAAAAGAAGGGAAAAUAAGGGAAAAGGAAGAGAUUUGGAGGAAAUAAGUGAAAAAGGUAAGAUUUAGGUUGUUUAAUGUGUAUAAUAUGUUAAUUAAGCUUUAAUUUCAGUUUUUAUGAAUGUUAGGGUUUUGAGAAUUUGUGUUUUUUAAAUUGAUGAAUUAAAUUGAAGGUUAGGGGUUGAUUGUUGUGUUUAAUUGAUGAUUUAGUUGAUUAUGGAAGAUUAUGAUGAUUUUGAGUUAUAGAAUUGUGUGAAAUGUGAAUUGAGUUAGAAAUCAGGGGAGAACAGUGGGGUUUCUGUUAAAAUCUGGACUGGAGGUUGAAGAUGACGAAAAUUCAAUUUGGUCCCUCAAUUUCCGAAAAUUACAGUUUAGUCCCCGAACUUUGGAAAAUUACAAAUUGGUCCCUGGAGCAUAUUCCGAGAUUCUGAACAGAAUAACAUAUGAAUUAUGGACAUAAUUACUGUAUAGAUAAGAUAAUUUAACACUUUCAAUUUAGUCCUCCAAUUUGACAAAAAGUACGAUUUGACCCUAAAAAUUUAGUAAAAUUCCAGAAUGAUCCCUGAAGCAUAAUGAUACAUCCUGGACAGAAUUGAGGAUUAAUUAAGGUCAGAAUUUCAGUAUAUUCAUGGAUUUAUGACAAAUUUCAGUUUGGUCCUCCAUUUGAAAAAGUUACAAUUUGGCCCUAAAAAUAUGGAAAAAUUCCAGAUUAGUCCCUAGCUGUAAUAUUAGCUUUUGCAGAUUAGUUUGAUGAAUAAUUAAGGGUUAUUUAGUGAAUUAUUACCAAUUUUAUUAGUUGUUUUUAUUAUGGAUUAGAUUUCGGGAAAACCGUUAGAUUUUGGGUUUUUAAGAAAAUUGACUAGUUAGUUCAAAAAUAUAGGGUUACGGAAUACACCCUUAGUUAAGUGUAUUAAAUAGGUUAAAUGUUCUUUCGAGUCGUUUUUGAAUAUGUCUCCUUUGUAUUCAGAUAAUCCUGAUAUUCUACCGGCAGGACGUCAGUAGAAUUUCCUUCGGUUUCAGCUUGUGUGUGGUUUGCUUUUGAGUCAGGUGAGUGGAUAAUUUUCCAUAUGCAUGAGAAAUAUUAUAAAUAUUUGAUUUGUUAAUAUGAAUUGGAUCAUGCUUCUUGAUAAUAUAUAUAUGAUUAUUAUCCUUGAUAUGAUAAAGCAUGAUCAAUUAUUGAAUCUGAUUUCUUGAUAUGAACCAAUAUGAUUUGACUUCUGAAUUGAUAGCUCCUCAUUUGAUGGAUGUCAUGAGUUGAGCUUUGAGAUAUGAAUAUGUUUGUUUGAUUAUGAUUAUGAACCUAUGGUAUGUCAGUCAGAAUACCCAUGCUAACAGGGUAGUGUUAGUCUUUGUGCACAUCGUAUCUGAACCCUAGUUGGUCGGGGGAGUCACCAACCUGUGUGGACUGAUCAUCCCACAGUACGGAGCCUCAUGCUCAUUGCAUUUUGAUUUUCUGACGAGUUUUACCAUAUGAUAUUCUUGUUAUGGCCUAUUUGAUAAACCUUCGUAUAAGAACUAAAGCCAUACUUGUAUAUAUAUUUCUCAUUGUUAUAUUACCUCGUGUGUGUAUAUUGAACGUUAUCUACUCACUGAGUUGUUGAACUCACCCUCUCAUUAUUUAUCCUUUUCAGGCUUAUAGCUUGAUAGCAGGUUACUUUUGUUGAACCUUCCGAACCUGCCUUUUGGUUGUAAUUUGUACCUUCCUUUUGUGUCAAGUUAGUGCUCCAAAACUAUGAAAUUAUUAACUCUUGUAUUAAGACAAUUACAUUAUAUUAUGAAGUUGUUUGUUGUUAAUUCUGCGUUAAACUCUGAUUGAGUUGUUUAAAGGAUUGUAUGUAAGUUUGGGUUCGCAUAGGUUUGGAACCUUGGAGGGGAACCUUGCCUAUGUGCCGGUCAUGGAUCCGGGAUUCGGGUCGUGACAAACUUGGUAUCAGAGCUUUAGGUUAAAGAAACAAUAAUAUAAUUAAUUUCAUAAUAAGUGGAGCAUUAGGAUCCGUAUCGUCUUGUUUGUUGUUUUUGAAAUUUUAAAUUCUCAUCAAGUAUGUCUUCUUCCUUGUGAUAGAUAUGCUUUCCUAUAAUUCUGAGAUAAUUAUCAUGCUAUUGUUCUAGCAUGACUUAAGUGAUCUCUCUUUUAUUUUAGGAAAUGCCGAGGAAUAGACGAAGAACUGAUACUCUUAGGGUAGAUGAUGAUCAGGAUGAUGUCCCUAUUAUGCAGUUGAUAACUGCAAGGCAGAGAAGGAGGCGUGGUGCACCCGUGCCUCAACAUGUUGAUGAGGUACCUCCACCAGUGGAGGAAGAGCCUCAGGAGAUAGAAGAGGAAGAUAUGGUUGAUGAAACAGGUGUGGGGGUAGCUGACCCUGAGCCUGUUACAGAGGUUCAGCGACUUAGCCAGGUUGUGCAGACUUGGAUAGAGUUUACUAUGGAGAGAGACAGAAUGAGGGAUAGAGAUGUACCCUCGACAUCCCACACUGUUCAGGGAGUUAAUGUGCCAUUGGAUGACUUUAUGAAGUUGGCACCUCCUAUUUUUACUGGGAUAGACAGUUCAGAGGAUCCUCAAGUUCCUAGAUGACAUUUGGCGACGAUGUAAAGCUUUGGGAUGUACAGACCACCGAGCUGUGAGUUUGGCAUCGUUCAGGUUGGAAGGAGAUGUGGCAAUCUCUUGGUUUGAGUCUAGGGAAAGAGCAAGACCAGUAGAGGCUCAGUGGACAUGGAAGGAGUUUAGCUCCAUGUUCUUAGACAGGUUUCUCCCUCAGAGCAUCAGGGAUGCUCGACUUUAUGAGUUUGAGAGGCUAUCUCAAGGGAGCAUGACAGUGGAGGAGUAUGAUCUGAAGUUCACUCAACUGUCUAGGUAUGCAGAAUAUCUUCUACCCACUGAGGAAUGGAGGGUGAAGAGAUUCAUUAGAGGACUCAAAUCCUCUCUGUAUAUGGUAUUGGCGCCACAAGUGUUUCCAUCCUACUCCUCAGCUGUUGAUAGCGCCAGAUUGCUAGAGGCGCGUGAAAUAGAGGACAUGACUGUUGGCCAGUCUAAGAGGCCUAGAGAAGAGGGUCAGUCUUUUAGGCAACAGGAUUAAGUGCAGGUCCGUUUAGGGGACGAAGUGGCCGUCAGGGCUCAUGGGUUCAGAGGAGGUUUAGACAGAGACCAUCAGUUAGUGGCUCAGGCAGUCAGAGUGGCAGUAGUGGUGCCCAGAGUUUAGUUCAGACUGCACCUCGUAGUUCAUUUGUUUCAUCUGGGGAUAGUUCUUUGUGUCAGCACUGUGGAGGAGGUCAUAACAGUGCAGAGUGCUACAGAAGGACUGGGGCUUGUUUUAGUUGUGGCCAGAUAGGUCAUAAGAUUAGAGAGUGCCCGAGGAGACAGUUGUCCACUUCGGGGUUAUCUGCUUCAGUCCAGCAGCCUAUUCAGGCACCAUCGACGAGCCAGUCUGUGGCUCAUGGGGGUAGAGGUUUUGGUGGCCGUGGUCAAAGAGGUCGGGGUGCAGGUGAUAGAGGUCAGAUACAGCAGGGUCAGGGGCAUGCCAGAGUUUUUGCCUUGACUCAGCAGGAUGCUCAGGCAUCCAACACAGUUGUUUCAGGUAUUCUUCCUGUUUGCUCUUUUGAAGCAAAAGUUUUGUUUGAUACGGGUGCAACUCAUUCGUUUGUGUCCCCAUAUUUUGCCAUGAGGUUAGAUAAACAACCAACCUUGUUAAAAUCCCCCAUUUCAGUCUCCACUCCCUUAGAUGAGUUAAUAUUAGUAAAGUAUGUGUAUCUGGAUUGUGAAAUAGAGAUUGGAGAUAAGAUCUUUAUGGGAGACUUAAAUGUCUUAGAUAUGGUUGAUUUUGAUGUGAUUUUGGGAAUGGAUUGGUUGGCUAAGCAUAGGGCUUCGGUAAAUUGUUGGGGUAAGAAAAUAAUGUUUGAUCUAGAUCAAGAAGUUGGGUUGGUAUUUCAAGGAGAUAAGAUUGGGUCUCCAUCAAUUAUGUUGUCGGCUAUCUCGAGGAAAAUGGCCCGAAAAGGGGUACAGUGCUACCUAGCAUAUAUAGUGGAUGUAGAGAAAGAAGUUCCCCAGUUAGAGGAAGUCCCUAUAGUAGAGAGUUUAUCGAUGUCUUUCCUGAUGACUUACCUGGAUUGCCUCCGUAUAGGGAGAUUGAGUUUUGUAUUGAUUUGGUUCCGGGCACUGAACCAAUAUCAAUGGCACCAUAUAGAAUGGCGCCAGCAGAAUUGAGGAGUUAAAGGAGCAGCUGCAGGAUUUAUUGGAUAAAAAGUUCAUCCGACCAAGUGUGUCCCCUUGGGGAGCUCCGGUGUUGUUUGUGAAGAAGAAAGAUGGGUCAUUGAGGUUGUGUAUAGAUUAUAGGCAAUUGAAUCGGGUGACAGUUCGAAAUAGAUACCCACUCCCUCGUAUAGAUGAUUUGUUUGAUCAGUUACAGGGAGCUCAAUUCUUUUCUAAGAUCGAUCUUCGAUCUGGGUAUCAUCAGUUGAGGAUUAGGGAGGAGACAUUUCAAAGACAGCUUUUAGAACUCGGUAUGGUCAUUAUGAGUUUUUAGUGAUGUCUUUUGGGUUGACGAAUGCACCAGCAGCUUUUAUGGACUUGAUGAAUAGAGUGUUUGGCCAAUUUAUUGAUCGAUUUGUGAUAGUUUUUAUUGAUGAUAUUUUGGUGUAUUCGAGGUCUAGAGAGGAGCAUGAGCAGCAUUUGAGAAUGGUGCUUCAAACUCUGCGAGAUCAUCAGUUGUAUGGCAAGUUCUCAAAGAGUGAGUUUUGGUUGGAGAGUGUAGCAUUUCUUGGGCAUGUAGUGUCAAGGAAUGGGAUUGAGGUUGAUCCUCAAAAGAUUGAAGCAGUUAAGCAGUGGCUUAGGCCUACUUCGGCGACAGAGAUUAGAAGUUUCUUAGGUUUGGCCGGCUACUAUCGGAGGUUUGUGGAGAACUUUUCUCGAAUUUCUGCACCAUUGACUAAGUUAACGCAGAAAAAUGUUAAGUUUCAGUGGUCUGAAGCUUGUGAGAAAAGUUUCUUAGAGUUGAAGGAGAGAUUGACUACAGCCUAUUCUAGCAGUACCAUCAGGUUCUGGUGGUUACACAGUGUAUUGUGAUGCUUCGAGAGUGGGGUUAGGAUGUGUUCUAAUGCAGCAUGGCAAGGUUAUUGCCUAUGCUUCACGGCAGCUGAAGAAGCAUGAACAGAACUAUCCUACACAUGAUUUAGAGAUGGCGGCUGUAAUUUUUGCUUUGAAGAUUUGGAGGCACUACUUGUAUGGUGAAACUUGUGAGAUCUUUACAGAUCACAAGAGUUUGAAAUACAUCUUUCAGCAAAGGGAUCUAAACCUGAGGCAGAGGAGAUGGAUGGAACUACUGAAGGAUUAUGAUUGUACCAUACAGUACCACCCGGGUAGGGCAAAUGUAGUUGCCGAUGCUUUGAGUAGAAAAUCAUCAGGGAGCUUAGCUCAUAUUCAGGAGGUACGAAGACCUCUGAUUAGGGAGCUGCAUGAGUUAGUGGAUGAAGGAGUCAGAUUUGAUCUUAGUGAAGCUGGAGCAAUGAUUGCUCAUUUUCAGGUUAAGUCAGAUUUGUUUGAUAAGAUAAAAGCAGCUCAGAAGAAAGAUGAUUCACUACUCAGGAUUAGAAAUGAGGUUGAGCAGGGUAAGGCUGCAAGUUUUGUGAUUGGUGAUGAUGAUGUGCUGAGAUAUAGGGAUAGGCUUUGUGUACCUGAUGUUGAUGAUCUGAGGAGAGAAUUGAUGAUAGAGGCACAUCAGACAGUUUACACAAUGCAUCCAGGUUCCACCAAGAUGUAUAAAGACCUUAAGGUGUGUUAUUGGUGGAAUAGGAUGAAGGCUGAUGUAGCAGAUUUUGUUUCUAGGUGUUUGACCUGUCAGAGGGUAAAGGGUGAACACCAGAAACCUCCUGGAUUGUUACAACCAUUGUUGAUUCCAGAAUGGAAGUGGGAAAGGAUCACAAUGGACUUUGUGACAGGAUUGCCUAGGAGUCAGGAGGGUUAUGAUUCGAUAUGGGUGAUUGUUGACAGGUUGACAAAAUCAGCCCAUUUUCUGCCAGUUAAGAUUACUUAUGGAUAUGCAAAGUUGGCGGAAUUGUUUAUUAGUGAGAUUGUACGGUUGCAUGGAGUGCCAAUCUCGAUAGUGUCUGAUAGAGGUCCACAGUUUACAUCGCGGUUUUGGGUGAAAUUUCAAGAAGCUAUGGGUACUAAGGUGCAGUUGAGUACAGCUUUUCACCCUCAGACAGAUGGUCAGUCUGAGAGGACUAUUCAGACCUUGGAGGAUAUGUUAAGGGCUUGUGUUAUGGAUUUUGGAGUUGGUUGGAGUAAGUUCCUACCAUUAGUGGAAUUUGCUUACAACAACAGUUAUCAGGCUAGCAUAGAGAUGGCACCUUAUGAGGCUUUGUAUGGUCGGAAGUGUAGAUCACCAGUUUGUUGGUUUGAGGUUGGUGAGAAGAGGCUAAUGGGACCGGAGUUGAUUCAGAUUACCUCAGAGAAGAUUGAGGUAAUUAGAAAGAAGCUUCAAACAGCUCAGAGUAGACAUAAAAGUUACGCAGAUAGAAGAAGGCGUGACUUAGAGUUUUCAGUGGGUGAUUGUGUGUUCUUAAAAGUAUCACCUACAAAAGGAGUAUUCAGGUUUGGGAAGAAAGGCAAGUUGAGUCCUCGAUUCAUUGGACCGUAUGAGAUUCUGGAGAGAGUUGGGGCAGUUGCUUAUCGGUUAGCAUUACCACCAAACUUGUCUGCUAUUCAUCCGGUAUUUCAUGUUUCCAUGUUAAGGAAAUAUAUGUCAGAUCCAUCGCAUGUGUUAGAGGUUCAUCCUAUUGACUUGAGGGAUGAUAUGGUUUAUGAGGUGCAACCGGAAGCUAUAGUCGACCGACAAGUGAGGAAGCUUAGGUCGAAGGACAUAGCUUCAGUGAAAGUGAAAUGGAAAGGCCAUUCACGUGAGGAAGCGACAUGGGAGCUCGAGGAUAAGAUGCGUGAGGAGUAUCCUCAUCUUUUCGAUAAUCUCGGUAAGUAUCAAUCUUUUCUAUUAAGUUUCGAGGACGAAACUUUUAUAAGGUGGGGAGAUUGUAAUGUUUUGAAAUUAAUAAGAUAGGAAUUACAACAAAGCCCUUGGAGGCUUAAAAGUUGGAAUAAAUGAAUAAGGGGUAUUAUGGUAAUUGAACAAAAAUUGAUAAAUAUAAAUAGGAAGUAAAAAAAAAAAAGUGAUCUGAAAUUAGAGAGAGAACCGUGAGAGAGAAAGAGAAAGAAGAAGAAGAGAAAAGAAGGGAAAAUAAGGGAAAAAAGGAGAGAUUUGGAGGAAAUAAGUGAAAAAGGUAAGAUUUAGGUUGUUUAAUGUGUAUAAUAUGUUAAUUAAGCUUUAAUUUCAGUUUUUAUGAAUGUUAGGGUUUUGAGAAUUUGUGUUUGAUUUAAAUUGAUGAAUUAAAUUGAAGGUUAGGGGUUGAUUGUUGUGUUUAAUUGAUGAUUUAGUUGAUUAUGGAAGAUUAUGAUGAUUUUGAGUUAUAGAAUUGUGUAAAUGGUGAAAUUGAGUUAGAAAUCAGGGGAGAACAGUGGGGUUUCUGUUAAAAUCUGGACUGGAGGUUGAAGAUGACGAAAAUUCAAUUUGGUCCCUCAAUUUCCGAAAAUUACAGUUUAGUCCCCGAACUUUGGAAAAUUACAAAUUGGUCCCUGGAGCAUAUUCCGAGAUUCUGAACAGAAUAACAUAUGAAUUAUGGACAUAAUUACUGUAUAGAUAAGAUAAUUUAACACUUUCAAUUUAGUCCUCCAAUUUGAAAAAAGUACGAUUUGACCCUAAAAAUUUAGUAAAAUUCCAGAAUGAUCCCUGAAGCAUAAUGAUACAUCCUGGACAGAAUUGAGGAUUAAUUAAGGUCAGAAUUUCAGUAUAUUCAUGGAUUUAUGACAAAUUUCAGUUUGGUCCUCCAUUUGAAAAAGUUACAAUUUGGCCCUAAAAAUAUGAAAAAUUCCAGAUUAGUCCCUAGCUGUAAUAUUAGCUUUUUCAGAUUAGUUUGAUGAAUAAUUAAGGGUUAUUUAGUGAAUUAUUACCAAUUUUAUUAGUUGUUUUUAUUAUGGAUUAGAUUUCGGGAAAACCGUUAGAUUUUGGGUUUUUAAGAAAAUUGACUAGUUAGUUCAAAAACAUAUAGGGUUACAGAAUACACCCUUAGUUAAGUGUAUUAAAUAGGUUAAAUGUUCUUUCGAGUCGUUUUUGAAUAUGUCUCCUUUGUAUUCAGAUAAUCCUGAUAUUCUAUCGGCAGGACGUCAGUAGAAUUUCUUUCGGUUUCAGCUUGUGUGUGCAGUUUGCUUUUGAGUCAAGUGAGUGGAUAAUUUUCCAUAUGCAUGACAAAUAUUAUAAAUAUUUGAUUUGUUAAUAUGAAUUGGAUCAUGCUUCUUGAUAAUAUAUAUAUUGAUUAUUAUCCAUGAUCAAUCAAAAAGGGAGCUCAUAGACUGGAAUAAGCGAUUUGAAAUCAUUGAAGGGAUAGCUCAAGGGCUACUUUACCUUCAUAAGUACUCGAGAUUGAGGAUAAUUCACCGAGAUUUGAAGGCUGGCAACAUACUACUGGAUGAAAAUAUGAACCCCAAAAUUUCUGAUUUUGGCAUGGCAAGAAUUUUCAAGAUCAAUGAUUUAGAAGGAAAUACAAACCAAAUUGUUGGGACGCUGAUGGGGACACCGAACCAGAAACACUAUUUACGCACGCGUAUGAUCAUAGACGAUGGAGGAUAGCCCAAACCAUUGAGAAAUUGGGCUUUAACUUAUGUUUUUGGGUUUAAUUUAUAUGGACUUUCAGUUGAGUUUUAUUAAUUUAGCUUUAUUUGUUGGGCUUGAUUUAAUUAAUGUUGGAUAUUUUAUUUAAUGGGCCAUAAGCCCAAUUGCUUAUUCAAGUUAGGGUUUUAGUAUAAAUACCCUACUUCUCUAAAUGUUAAGGGACUUUGAAUGAUUAAUGAAAAAAAUGCAGAUUUGCAUAUCUCCAACCCCUCUCCUCCUCUUCUUCUUAGCUUCUUUCUUUCCCUAAAGUUUUUUUCUUUUCUUGCUUUAAUUCUUUUUACGUAUUGUCCCACGUCAAAUUUGGUAUCAGAGCAAGGGUUUUAAUUGUUCUUACAAUUAAACGGUCCACAAUAUUGCUAAAUUGUAGAUCCGGUUUGAUAAAAAAAAAAAAAAAAAUUGGACGCCGAUACUGUUCAUCAGUAUUGUUUCAAUCUACUGUUCAUCAGUAUUGUUUCAAUCUACUGUUCAUCGGUAUUGUUUCAAUUUACUGUUCAUAUCUACGCAACAGCCAAAAAAAGUUACUACUCAUCGAUCGGCACUGUUACUGCUUAUCUUCUCCAGAUCUGCAUCAACGCCGAAGUCGAAAUUGUCACUGCAUCAACACCGAUCACACCAAGAUCCACGCAGCAACAGAUCUGCCAUCCAUGCACCAGCUCGCACCACCAGAUCGACACCGCAAGAGAGAGAACAGAUCUAGACUGUUCAUCUUCUCCAAGCAAACAGCAGCCGAAAGCAAUAGUGUACACUGUUCAUAAUAAAAAACGGCCACUGCGGAGUAGAUCCAUUAGUGACAACAGCCACAACCAGCCAUCUACCGCAUCUGAGCUGACCGACAGUAGAGCUACACCGUAGGAGACAGCAGAAGUCAGACAGAACAGUAACACAAACCAGCGGCAACCACCACCUUCAGUGCCCGCAAUAGUUAUUCAUCUUCACCAGCUACGCCUUCUCUCAACAGCCACCAAGAUCGACAACAGUUCUCACAGCAGCCAAAUCAAUUCACCUUCAGCAACCGCCUCUCACAGCAGCAGAUCAACUCAACCCAGAGACUCGCCAUGGCAGACCAGCAUCUUAAUCCUUUCACUUGUAUCGGGUUGCGGGAAUUAAUUUGUUGAUUGAUUUCCAAGAACAGGUUUGUACGAAGACGGCAACCAGAUGAAGGAAACAAGAAACCAAAGCAAACUAUGGCUGCAAGAUUAAUUAACCCUGCCACGUUAUCAGUUAUGCCACCGCUGCCACGUCAGAUGUCGCACACCAAAAAAAAAUUAAAUUUCAAUUGCGGGUUCGACUGGCGAAUUUUUUUAUUUUUGGUUUGAUUUGGUUCUUUGGAGUCGCCACCUAGUAUUUUGGUCACUAGGAACCCUAACUGGUCUCAGAGAUCGGGUACGGAGACUGGUUGCGUAAAGGGAAGGUAUUAGCACCCCAAAUACGCCUUACCUAAGGUAAGCUGCAUUGUUUUAUUGUCUAAUAAAAAAAAAACUAAGGUGUUAUUGUGUUUUCCUAGUUGUUGGUCUGUCUAUGGUUCAAGAAAAAUCCUCCUCGGUAAGGAGAUCUUUAUCUUAUCGGGUAAAAAUCCUAACCGUUCUAACGUCCAUACCAAAAUUUUAUUGAUAAUAUUUAGGAAUACGUUUUACGUAUAAAUUCGUAAUCCCAAAUACUAAAAGAAAAUAAAAAGAUUUUUUAGAAUUUUUGAAAUAUUGGCCUAGUUCUCAUGGCUUGAAUAAACUGGUUAUUAAAACCAAAAUGCAUGCUAAUACAUAUAUUGUUUUGAAAAUUUUCUUUGUUAUGUGAAAAUAUGAUGUUAUAAUAUUUAUAUAUAUAUAUUGGAGAGACUAGGCCGUAUUUUAAAACAAAAACAAUUUUUGGAAAAUAUUUUUUUUUUUAUGUUUUAACGAAAAUCGGGUAUUUUAAUACUGAGCUUGUAUCCUUAUGGUAUAAAAAUACAACCCAAUAUUAAUCCGCUUUGAUAAAAAAUAUGCAGAAAAAUCAACAACAUUCUGAAAAUCUUUGAUAUUUUGACGAAAACCGGGUAUUUAUAACACUGGUUUUGUAUCUUUACGGUAUAAAAAUACAAACCAACAUUAAACCACUUUGACAAAAAUAUGCAGAAAAAUUAACAAUAUUUUUUAAAGAUUUUUCAAAAUAUUUUUUUUUAUUAUUAUAUUAUAUAUAUAUAUACAUAUAUACACACAUAUAUUAUAACAUAUAUAAUAUAUAUAAUAUAAAAAAAAUUCGGGCUGGGCCGGCCCAAAUAAACGGGCCGGACUCCGCCCAACAAGGAAAGGUUGGGCCGAACUCGGCCCAACCGAAAAGUCUUCUUCAAUCUGGGCCAGAACCGGCCCAGACGUUCAUGGGCUGGGCCAGCAUCGGGCUGGCCCAGCGUUAACAGCCCAGCGGGGAAAGGUUGGGCCGAACUCGGCCCAACCGAAAAUUCUUCUUCAGUUUGGACCAGAACCGGCCCAGACGUUCAUGGGCUGGGCCAGCAUCGGGCUGGCCCAGCGUUAACAGCCCAGCGGGGAAAGGUUGGGCCGAACUCGGCCCAACCGAAAAUUCUUCUUCAGUCUGGACCAGAACCGGCCCAGACGUUCAUGGGCUGGGCCAGCAUCGGGCUGGCCCAACGUUAACAACCCAGCGAGGGGGGGGGAGAAUUAUUUUUCUCCCCCCCGCCUCCUGCAUGCAACAUGCAGGAGGCAAGGCUGCCACGAAAGGAAUGCAGGGAAGAAGGAACGGGUACCUGGCGUGGAGGCGGUCGCUGGUGGAGCUGCGGUGGCGUGGCUCGCGUACGGCGGCUCCGGGCGGUGCUGUGGUGGUUCGAACGGCGGCGGAGAGAAAAGAUUUUCUUCCUCUUCCCCUCUUCUUCGUUUUCGGUUUUUCUUUCUUUUCCUUCCUUUCUCUUUAGUUUCUGUUUUCUUUUUGUUUUCGGUUCAUUCCUUUCUCUUUCCCUCUCCCUUGUUGGUUCUCUCUCUCUUCGGUCUUCUCUCUCUCUUCGGUCUCCUCUCUCUCUCCUCCCUUCGGUUUUUUUUUCUUUCUGUUUUCGGUUUGUUUUUUUUUUCUUGCUUUCGGUCUGUUUCUCUCCUCUCCUCUCCUUCGUGCGUUAUUUCUCUUCUUCCUCUAUCCUCGGGUCUCUCUCUCUCUCUCUCGGCCUCUCUCUAUUUAUAAGCAAAAAAGGAAACGACGUGCCUUUUGUUAGUGCACCUUCAAUCACGCAACGGCUGGUCGGCCAUUGAUGCUUUCGGUGGUGGUGGUGGGGGCGAGGAGAGAGACGCGGGAAAAUUUUCAAAAUUUUCGUCUCUGUUGCUGCUAAACCGGGGGAAGGAAGAAGAUGAACAGUGUCGUUCAAAACGACACCGUUCUGCUUUUUUUUUUUUUUUUUUUUUUAUAUAUGAAACGGCGUCAUUUUGGAUAAAACGCGUCGUUUCAUUUAAAUGGCCAAACUUCAAAUCAGUCCUCCAAAUUCGGUCCCCGCCCCUCUUGUUGGCCGCCUUUUUCACUUUGGUCCUUGGCCUCUGAUUUAUGCAAUUGAGCCCCUAAUUGAUCAAUAAACUUCCAAUUUCUUCAAUUAAGCCCCUGAAACAAUUCCAAACAACCCCCUCUAUCUUUGCGCCUUCUCCAAAUUGGUCCCUGGUUUCGGAUUUUCACAAUUAAGUCCCUAAUUGGCCAUUAAACUUCAAUAUUUAUGCAAUUAAACCCCUGAUUUGACCCAAUAAAUUCCUAAAAAAUAUAUUUUGGCCCCAGAACUUAAAUUUCUCCAAAUUAAAGCCCAAAUUGACUUAAAAAUCAAUUUUUCUUGCAAUCAAAUCUUCUAUAAAUUCAAAUAAAAAUCCAAUUAAGUCCAUAAAAAUCCAAUUAAGUCCAUAAACAUCCAAAUUUGGGCUUUUCUCCUCAAAAUUCAUAUUUUCCUUCUCAAUAGGGCUUUCAUCCUUCAAGAAUAUACUGUCAAAAAUUCAAUCCUUGUAUUUUUAAAUUCCUUGACCAAUUUUCUAACUGUUUUCCGAGCGCUUCUGCCUCCUGUUAUUUUCCUAACCUCUUUUGGCUAUUUAUUUUAUUUUUCAGGGGGACCCAAAAAUGGGUUACAAUAUCGACAUGGUCACCACGUAAGCAAACUGACCACAUCAUCUUCUGUGUCAACAGUCAAUUCAUCCAGUUUGCCACGUCAGCUCCAACAAAUUUCAACUUCCUCCCAGCACUCUAGUCAGUGAAUCACUCUCCCAUAUUUGUUGAAGUUUACUUUUAUUGGAUUUUCACUUGUCAUUCAAGGUUAUUAUUAAUAUUACUUUUGUGCCUAAAAAAAUUCCCAAAAAAAAAAAAAAAAGAUACCAAAAAAAUCCUCAUCAGCAUUUUUAAUUGUUAAUUUUUGUUCAUCAACCUCUUUCAUCAGUGAUUGCUAAUAUCUUAUUCUAUUUGAUAAUUAUGAAUUCUUGCUUAUGACAUCGUGUUUGAUUAAUCAUUUACACUUAAGAAUUUAGUAUUAGAUGCUUACAAUUUUAUUAGUGUAAUUUGUUCUUGAUUAAUCUCCACAUGUAAGAAAAAAAAAAGGAUAAAAAAAAAUAAAAUUAAAUUAGCUUUAUUUUUUGUAUUUUGACUUUGCUUGCAAGAACCACUCGUGAUCUCAAUUUCAUUUCUAAGUUAGUGUUGCAUGCAUUUAUGUCAUGAUCAUCUAGUGUCUAAACUUAAGUUUACACUUACUGUAGACUCAACCUUUAGUGAUACUCUUAUGAUCAUUUCAAGGGAACUGCAAACUUAGGUGAUCAACAUGUUUAGAAGAAUUAAGCCCCAAGAGAGUUUUCGAAUAAGGCACUCAAAUACCAAUAAAUAUCACAAGAAUAAUCAUUAUGGACAAGAUCACUGUGAGCGACACCAAUAUGACCAUCAUUUAGGUUACUCUAAACAUGAUGACUUUGAUGAGCGAGUCUUGAGUCCUAACAAAAUAGAAGCCCCCACUUUUGACGGUCGUCAUGACCCUUGGAUAUUUGAUAUGUGGAUUCGUGAUAUGGAUCAAUUCUUUGAGUGGCAUAAUUUGUCUGAUAAUAAGAGAGUUAGAUUUGCUGAGAUGAAAUUCAUUGAUAAAGCCAAACUUUAUUGGAGAGACGUUAAGGAUUGCUUAGAGAUGAGAGGUAAACCUCCUAUAACUGACUGGAUCAAAAUGAAACAAAAACUUCAAGAGAAAUACGUACCCCAGUCUUAUAGGAAUAAACUCUUAGACCAAUGGAACAAUCUAAAACAAGGGAAUAAGUCUAUCAAUGAGUACAUAAGGCAGUUUAACGAUUACAUGAUUAGAUGUGCCAUAAGAGAGAGUGAAGCCAUGACUUUGCGUAGAUUUUGUAGAGGCUUAAAUGAUGAUCUUAAAAGAGAAGUUGUAUUUCAAGGUGUAUCUACCCUUGACCAAGCUUAUACCUUAACUAAAGACUACAAGUUGGUCACAAAGGAUCAGUGGAAAAAUCGUCAGGACUUUUAUAGUAUCCCUAUUAGGUCCCAAUUCAGAGGUAGUGAUUCUUUGUUAGUUGCUCUACCCCAUAGACCUAAUCCUAGUAACUCACAACCUUACAAGAAAGAUAAAGGCAAACGAGUUGUUAAUGAGGUGUCUAAAGUGAGUUCUAUGGUUAAGUGUACUAAUUGUCUAGGUUUUGGUCAUAUCUCUUUAGAUUGUACCUCUAAACCUUUAGUCAUCCAAAAAUAUAAGGAUCUAGGUAAAGAGGAAUAUUGUAGUGUUGAAGUGUAUGAGCCUAAUCUUGAGGAUUUUAGUGACCUUGAUGACGAGGAUGUGCAAGAAGAGGGACUUAACACAAUGAGUCCACAUGAGCUUGAGACUAAGGUUAAGAAAGAGUCUGAUAUGUCUGCUUUAAUGGUGGAGGAAAUUUUAGGAAACUCUUUAGUGGAACCGCCUAUAGAGAUAAGUAUGGUCUUAGAAGAGUCUCAUGAUAUUAGUUCUCCUGAAUUAUCUGAUUCCUCGCCCCAUAUGCUUGGUGUCCAGCACAUCAUAAGUUUAGAGCAACAUGUUGAGCUUUUUGACCCCUUACCACAUGCACGUGAUGAGGAAGAUGAAGAUAAUCCUAGUUUACUUGAUUGUGUCCAUACCAUAUCUACAGAGGUUUCAAAUAAUGUUUGUCUCAUUCCACACCCUCAAUCAUUUAGUGUUCAUAGUUACAAACCUGAGAAGCCUAUAGAACACCUUCUCAUAUCUCCUCAUGAUAGGAUGUCUAAGUCAGCUGAGUCAUUACCAUGUAGGGUUCAUAAUUUGCAUAUUGAGAUCAUGAAACAAAUUCAAGCAAGUAAUGAACAAUACAAAUUUCGAGCUGAUUUACUUAAAUAUCAUAAUGCACUUAAUGUUGGAGAUUAUUUCAUGAUACAGAUUAGACCUGAACGGUGUCCUUUGGAAACCGAUCAUAAAUUGCAAGUAAGUAGUGCUAGACCAUUCAAAGUGUUGCAAAUGAUUACAUCAAAUAAUUAUGUCAUUAAAUUGACAUUAAACUUUGAUAUUAACUCUACUUUGAACAUGAAAGACCUCAGUAUUUAUAAAAUACAGCCUACCCCUGAUGCUCCUUUUGAUACCCCUACCUCAAUAUCCAUAUCUUUGGCACAAAAGGAACAUAUUAAUGCUACUUUGAAUGCACAAGUUGUUUUUACCAGGGACGGUGAACUUCAGCAAAUCCCAAUAUAUGGACUCGACAACCAGAUUCAUACUAUACUUGGAUUAUCAGAGAGACAUCACAACAAUUUGAUCCUUAUCUUUGAGAGCAUUAUCGGAGCUGCCUUAACCUAUACUCGACGAGGUCGAGUUCUUCCAACCCCGGGAGAAUUGAUGGGGACACCGAACCAGAAACACUAUUUACGCACGCGUAUGAUCAUAGACGAUGGAGGAUAGCCCAAACCAUUGAGAAAUUGGGCUUUAACUUAUGUUUUUGGGUUUAAUUUAUAUGGACUUUCAGUUGAGUUUUAUUAAUUUAGCUUUAUUUGUUGGGCUUGAUUUAAUUAAUGUUGGAUAUUUUAUUUAAUGGGCCAUAAGCCCAAUUGCUUAUUCAAGUUAGGGUUUUAGUAUAAAUACCCUACUUCUCUAAAUGUUAAGGGACUUUGAAUGAUUAAUGAAAAAAAUGCAGAUUUGCAUAUCUCCAACCCCUCUCCUCCUCUUCUUCUUAGCUUCUUUCUUUCCCUAAAGUUUUUUUCUUUUCUUGCUUUAAUUCUUUUUACGUAUUGUCCCACGUCAGACGCGGUAAGUAUAGAUUUACAGUUCCAUGUGUCAUUACUCUCUAAAGUGCUUAAAAAUAACAUAACAUUCAGUUUUUCCAUCUAGUGGAUAUAUGUCCCCUGAGUAUGUCAUGGAGGGCAUUUUCUCUGUGAAAUCCGAUGUCUUCAGUUUUGGAGUUCUACUGCUGGAAAUUGUGAGUGGUAGAAGAAUCCAUGGCCUCCUUGAAAUAGGGCCCUCUCAAUCUUGUGGGAUAUGUAAGUUCAUUUCAAGCAACCUCAUAAAUGAUAACAUUUCUAGCUGCAUAAGCUUAAUUUUAACAUUAAACGUAAACAUGAUUCAGACAUGGGAGCUAUGGAAAGCAGGUAACCCAUUUGAGCUGGUGGAUCCAAUAGUAAGAGAAUCUUGCUCUAAAGACCAAGUCUUGAGAUGCAUUCAUGUGGGCUUGCUAUGUGUAGAAGACAAUGCAGUGGAUAGGCCGAUCAUGUCAGAUAUUAUAUCGCUGCUAACAAGCGAAGCACAGUUACCACUUCCCAAACAGCCUGCAUUUUCCAGUGCAAGAAGUAUUGUGGAAGAAAAUCCAGCAGAGAAUGGUUCCAUAAAUGAUGUUUCUAUGUCAACCAUGUAUGCGAGAUAGAGGUUAGAUGGUUUCUUUGUCCUCAAAUAUUGUUUGUCAUAUGUCUUUAUGGAGCAAAACUUAUAUUUCUCCAUCAGUAUUUUGCUUUUUCAAUGAUUAGUCUUUUUUGAUGCUCUCAAAAUUUAAGUUUCAUUCGGAAUAUGCUUAGAAAUUCUUAAC